rnacentral:lncRNA from 1 species
UUUAAACUGAUAAUAAUUCAUUUAUCAUACGAAGUCCAUAGGUAUGACCGUUCCAUCAUAGUGUACAAUGAGACUCAGACAUAAGACAAACAGGCAUGAAAACGCACUCAAUGUCUCAAACUACAACAAAAAAACACCAAUUUAUUCAACUCAAAUUCAUUAUUUUUAGGUCCUAAUAUUGCUAUGGACUAAAACAUCAUGGUUCUAUGUCUGCUUAAUGAGUGCCACAUGUGCAGUUUGUGCAGCUGCAGCUAUCUCCACCCUUGCACUUGCCAUCGUUCCCUGCCACAGCCUCGACCACUACAGUGCUGAUGUAGCUGCAAAGAAAUAUCACAACAGAUUAUAUUUAAGCAUAUGUGUGUUGAGAGCUGGACUGCAAUGCAACAUGAAGCCAGCAGCUAUCGAAUUCAGCUCAUUUUGCUUGGUGCGCAAGAAUGAAACUCAACCGAAUGAAGCAACCGAUUUUAAUCAUUUUGUUGUAAUGAUAUUUAGCUUAGUUCAAUUGUAACCAACUCUUAAAGUUAGUAGGAUUAAGUUUAUGAUUUGAUUUUUGAUGUAAAAGCUGAUAUGUCAGCUUAUCUUUUUAGUUGUUUAAGUUUGUAUUAGUUAAGCAUUAGUGGAGGCAGUUAGAUUAUUAGGUAACUGUCAUUUGAGCCAAAAUUGUAACUCCUUUUUAUUUCAAAUUUGAAUGAAAAAAUGGCAAUGUUCAGUUACAAAAAAAAAUUUGUCUGUGCAUUCAAGUUUCUUGCUGUUCUGCUUGUUUUCCUUUUGCUCGAUCACCUUUGCUUCUGUCUUGUUACUUUGUUUGCUGUAAAUGCUGCCAAUGUUCCAACAAAUGGUAUCAUGAGCCUGAAUCUUUGAGGGGCCUUUGUAUGCAAUCUGUUGUGUUCAAAUUAAAACCAACAGCAAAGUUCAAGAUUUAAAAAGAUCGAAGCUUUUUAAACUCAGUCUAGCAGGAUGAAUUUUACUCCACCACCUCCACCAGUGUUCACUGGAGAAAACUAUCACAUUUGGAUAGUCAAAAUGAAGACUUACCUUCAGGCACACGAUCUUUGGAGUGUGAUCGAGAAUGAUGCUGAACCACCUCCAUUGAGAGCUAAUCCCACUAUAGCACAGAUGAGACAGCAUGCAGAGGAGAGAGCCAAGAAGCACAAGGCUAUGGCUUGCUUGCAAAAUGGAGUCUCUGAUGUGAUAUUCACUCGCAUCAUGGCCUGUGGCUCACCUAAGCAGGCCUGGGAGAAGCUGAAGGAGAAGUUCAUGGGGACUGACAAGACAAGGCAACAGCAAGUGAUUAAUCUCAGGAGAGACUUUGAGAAUUUGAGAAUGAAGGAGUCUGAGACCAUCAAGUAGUACUCAGACAGGAUAAUGGCCAUUGUCAACAGCAUUAGGCUCCUAGGAGUGGACUUCACAGAGAGCAGAAUUGUUGAAAAAGUUAUCACAACUCUCCCUGAGAAAUUCGAGUCAAAAAUCUCUUCACUUGAGGACUCGAGGGACUUAUCAGCCAUUUCAUUAUCUGAGCUGAUAAACUCCUUGUAUGCACUUGAGCAAAGGAGGGCAAAUAGGCAGGAGGAGAAUCCUGAGGCUGCUUUCCAAGCUAAAGCCAAUGAAGGCUCGAGUGUGAGUGCAAAAGGCAAGAAGCCUUGGCACAAUAGAAGGGUCAAGUCAAGAAGAGAUGAAGCAAAAAGAGUGUUCCCACCAUGUGUUCACUGCAAGAAGACAACACAUUCAGAAAAGUAUUGUUGGUUUAGGCCAGAUAUCCAGUGCAGAAAGUACAAGCAGUUUGGCCAUGUUGAGAAGGUGUGCAAGGGCAAACCAAGGGAGGCUGCUCUGCAACAAGCUAGACCUGCUGAGGACAUGCAAGCUCAGGAGGAGCAUGUAUUCACAGCAACCUGUUUUGUUGGCACAACCAGGGCAUGCAAUGAUUGGCUACUAGACAGUGGCUGCUCACAUCAUAUGGCAGUAGAUGAGAAGCUGUUUAAGGGCCUAGACAGAAGCUUUCACUCGAGGAUCAGAAUUGGAGAUGGCAAGCUGAUUGAGGCUAAGGGCAAGGGCAAUGUGUUGGUUAGCACUGGUUCAGGUAACAAGCUAAUCUUAUAUGUACUUUUUGUACCUGACUUAGACCAGAAUCUGCUUAGUGUAGGCCAAUUGGUUGAAAAAGGGUAUACCUUGGUCUUUAAAAAUGGUUGCUGCAUUGUUCAAGACAUGAAUGGUCUAGAGUUAGUCACAGUCUCUAUGACUGAUAGGUGCUUCAUGCUGGAUGUUAGCCAAGUAGAAAGGAAGGCAUACACCAGCCUUGCUGACAACACUGACUUAUGGCAUAGGAGACUUGGCCAUACCAACUUCAGAUCUAUUGAUCUGCUACAUAGGCUAAAUUUGGUUGAUGACAUUUUAAAGAUUGAGGUUAGUGGGAAUGUUUGUGAGGUUUGUCAGCUUGGUAAGCAUGCUAGACUGCCUUUUCCUGCUGACAGUGCUUGGAGAGCUCAGAAUAAGCUCGAAUUGGUGUACUCUGAUGUUUGUGGUCCCAUAAGAAUACCUUCAAUCAAUGAGAACAUGUACUUUGUCCUGUUUAUAGAUGAUUUAACAAGGUUGUGCUGGGUCUACUUCUUGAAGCAGAAGUCAGAAAUGUUUGAAGCCUUCUGCAAAUUUAAGGCAUAUGCUGAAAAUCAGUCAGGCUGCAAAAUUAGAGCCUUAAUGACUGAUAAUGGCUCUGAAUAUGUGUCUGAGAGAUUUCAGAAGCUUUGUGACAAUGCUGGGAUUCAUCAUCAACUUACAACAGUCUAUACUUUUCAACAGAAUGGAGUCUGUGAGAGGAAGAAUAGGACUGUGCUGAACAUGGCCAGGUGUCUCUUGUUUCAAGGCAAGCUUCCAAGCCAGUUUUAGGCUGAGGCAGUUAACACCUCAGUGUACUUGCUCAACAGGCUGCCAACUCGAGCAGUCAAGGAUAAGACUCUUUUUGAGGCCUGACAUGGAGUCAAACCAGUUGUAACACACCUAAAAGUGUUUGGCUGUGUGUGUUAUGCUCUUAUUCUAGUAGAGAAGAGGACUAAGCUCGAGAGCAGGGUUGCACCAGGAAUCUUUGUUGGCUAUAGCAGCAACAAGAAGGGUUAUAAAGUGUAUGAUCCUACAGCAAAGAAGGUCUUAGUUAGCAGGGAUGUGAAAUUUGAUGAGGAUAAGGUGUGGAAUUGGAAUGGUGUUGAAGCUGAUAUGUCUGAAAUGGACCAGUUAGACUUGGUUGCUGAACCUGCAGAAGAAGGACCAAGUGAUGAUGUUGUUGAUGAUACACCAGUAAGGGGCACCAAAACUUUGGCUGAUGUUUAUUAGAGGUGCAAUGUUGCUAUGAUUGAGCCCUCAGACUUUGAAGAGGCUGUUAAGGACAAAAGCUGGAUGAAGGCUAUGGAAGCUGAGUUGGAAAUGAUCAAUAAAAAUCAGACAUGGGAAUUGGUGAGUAGACCAGAACACAAGAAGGUCAUAGGAGUCAAAUGGGUGUAUAGGGCCAAGUACAAUGCUGAUGGCUCACUGAACAAGUACAAGGCCAGGCUUGUAGUGAAGGGCUACAAUCAGCAAUAUGGAGUGGAUUUUUUGGAGACAUUUACACCAGUAGCAAGACUGGAUACAAUCAAGCUGCUAUUUGCUUUAGCAGCUCAAAAGAAGUGGAGGGUUCAUCAAUUUGAUGUAAAGUCAGCAUUCUUGAAUGGUUUUCUCAAGGAAGAGAUCUUCAUCGAGCAACCAGAAGGUUUUGAAGUUGCUGGACAUGAAGACAAAGUAUACAAGCUGAGAAAGGCUCUUUAUGGCCUGAAAUAGGCACCAAGGGCCUGGUAUGACAGAGUUGAUGCUUACCUGACCAAGCUUGGAUUUAUGAAGAGUCUUAGUGAGCCUACUCUGUAUGUUAAAAGGUCAGAAUUUGAAACCUUGCUGAUUGUCUCCUUGUAUGUGGAUGAUUUGUUAGUGACAGGGAGCAAAGUUGAGCUCAUUGAUGAGUUCAAGGUUCAAAUGCAGCAAGUGUUUGAGAUGACUGAUUUGGGGGUCAUGACAUACUUCCUUGGUAUGGAAGUUCACCAGUCUGAUCGAGGCAUCUUCAUCAGCCAACACACAUUUGAUUUGAAGAUUCUUGGCAAAUUUUGCAUGCAAAACUGUAAAGCGGCAAGUACACCUGUGGCUCAUAGAGAAAACUUGACUAGCAGUGGUGAUCAGCAAAGGGUGGAUGAGAGGCACUAUCGAAGCCUAGUAGGCUGCUUGUUGUAUCCAACAGCAACCAGGCCAGACAUCAUGUUUGGUGUUAGUCUGCUAUCGAGGUUCAUGCACUACUGUAAUGAGACACAUUUGAAGGCUGCAAAAAGGGUUCUUAGAUACAUCAAAGGCUCAGCUAACCUUGGGGUGAUGUUUGAAAGUGGAAGGAAUUAAAAUUGGAAUGUUACUCUGACAGUGACUGGGCAGGAUUCCUCGAUGACAUGAAGAGUACCUCUGGAUACUUCUUCACACUUGGAUCGGGCAUGUUUUGCUGGAGUUCAAAGAAGCAACAAACUGUUGCUCAGUCCACAGCUGAAGCAGAGUACAUUGCUGCAACAGCAGCAGUCAAUCAGGCCAUUUGGCUUAGGAAGUUGCUUCAGGAUCUUAAUGAAACACAAGCUGAUGCAACUGAAAUUUGGGUGGACAACCAGUCAGCAGUUGCCAUAGCCAAGAAUCCUGUGUUCCAUGGUAAAACUAAAUAUUUUAAAAUUAAACUGCAUUUUGUUCGAGAAGCUAAACAAGUAAAGGAAGUCAACAUUGUGCAUUGCAGCUCAGGGGCACAAUUGGCUGAUAUAUUGACCAAGCCCUUAGGGGCUGCUCGAUUUGAAUUAUUGAGAAGUGCAAUUGGAAUGUGUUGCAUACAGUCCAAUGAGGAGUGUUGAGAGCUGGACUGCAAUGGAACAUGAAGCCAGCAGCUAUCAAGCUCAGCUCAUUUUGCUUGGUGCGCAAGAAUGAAACUCGACCGAAUGAAGCAACCGAUUUUAAUCAUUUUGUUGUAAUGAUAUUUAGCUUAGUUCAAUUGUAACCAACUCUUAAAGUUAGUAGGAUUAAGUUUAUGAUUUGAUUUUUGAUGUAAAAGCUGAUAUGUCAGCUUAUCUUUUUAGUUGUUUAAGUUUGUAUUAGUUAAGCAUUAGUGGAGGCAGUUAGAUUAUUAGGUAACUGUCAUUUGAGCCAAAAUUGUAACUCCUUUUUAUUUCAAAUUUGAAUGAAAAAAUGGAAAUGUUCAGUUGCAAAAAAAAAAAAUUGUCUAUGCAUUCAAGUUUCAUGCUGUUCUGCUUGUUUUCCUUUUGCUCGAUCACCUUUGCUUCUGUCUUGUUACAUUGUUUGCUGUAAAUGCUGCCAAUGUUCCAACAAUGUGUUCGACUGUGCAAGACAUAGCUCCUUUUUUUUCUUCUCUAGGUAAGAAUAUGAUUACUUAUCCAAAUGGGUUCAAUUUUGGUUAAAUUAUUCAAUAUUGGUCCUAAUAUACCUCUUUUCAGUCUCAAUGACCAAGCUAUUUCCUUUCUUCCUAUAAGCAUAACAAAAAAAGCCUUCAGUUUCAAUGAUAAUUGAUUGCAAACUCAUGCAUUUAGUCACAUCAACCUUAAUAAAUUUAUAUCUUAUCUAUGAAAAAAUUUAUAAUUAAAUUUCGACCGCUAUUAAAUAUUUUUUUUGAAUUUUCCCCUAGUAGUAUGCAGCUAAAAAACAUGCAGAACUAACUUAGGAACAAUAACAAAAUCAAAGAACCACACACAACAGUAGAAACUGGUCGAAAGCUGAUGAUGGAAGGAUGAUUUCUUGCACGCACUGGCUCUUGUCAGAGUAGUCGCAGUUGCCACACUUGUCAGACAUGGUGAAUUUGAAAGAGUUGAGAGGUAAAAGGUUUGUUUGAGUUUCUAAAGUAGUUAAGCUAACUUGCGAUGUAUAUCUAAAGCUAUGCACUUGAUGUAUUUAUAGAAGAGGAAGUACAUUGAAAUGGUGCAAAGGGAAGGCAUCUGUAGGGGCCCAAGUAGGCAUAAGAGAAGCACACGCCUCUGCUACAAGAGUUCAAAGGAAAGGAAUCUUUGUUGGAACAAUGGCAGCAUGUAUCAACCCAAUUAGCAAGCAGAACCAAAUGGGAUCGAAUCAGAAAUGAAAACAAAGCAAAAUCAAUAAACAAGACUUGAAUAUUCAGCAAAAUGUAACUGAACAACUUAACUUUUUCAUUCAAAUUUGAAAAACAUAUACUGGAGUUACAAUUUGACUUAGUUGAUAGUUACCUAAUGAUAUAAUUGCUCCCACUUAAACUAAACUAAUACAAGUUUAAGUCAAAUACAAAGAUAAGCUGACAUACCAGCUUUUACAUAAAAAAUCCAAUCACAAACUUAAUCCUACUAACUUUGGAAGCUAGUUAAAACUGAACUAAGUAAAAUUACAUAGCAACAAAAUGACCAAAUUAGAUUACUUCAUUCGGUCUAGUUUUAUCCUUGCGCACCAAGCAAUGCUGCUGAGCUCGAUGGCCAACCAUGUUGCUGGUUUCAUGUUGUAAUACAGUCCAGCUUUUAACACUCCUCCUUGGACUGUAUGCAACACAUACCAAUUGUACUUCUCAAUGCCUCAAAGCAAGCAGCUCCUAAGGGCUUAGUUAGCAUAUUAGCCAAUUGUGCCCUUGAGCUACAACGAACAAGGCUGACUUCCCUUGUUUGCUCAGCCUCUCGAACAAAAUGCAACUUAAUCUUAAAGUGCUUAGUUUUACCAUGGAACACAGGGUUCUUAGCUAUGACAACUGCUGAUUAAUUGUCCACCCAAAUCUCAGUUGCUUCAGCUUGAGUUUCAUUAAGGUCUUGAAGCAGUUUCCUAAGCCAAAUGGCCUGAUUAGCAGCUGUUGCAGCUACAAUGUACUCUGCUUCAGCUGUAGAUUGAGCAACAGUCUAUUUCUUCUUUGAACUCCAGCAAAACAUACUCGAUCCAAGUGUGAAUAAGUAUCCAGAGGUACUCUUCAUGUCAUAAAGGGAUCCUGCCCAGUCACUGUCUGAAUAACCUUCAAGUUUCAACUCCUUUCCACUUUUAAACUUUACACCAAAGUUUGCUGUCCCUUUGAUGUAUCUAAGGAGCCUCUUUGCAGCCUUCAAAUGAACCUCAUUACAGCAGUGCAUGAACCUUGAUAGCAAACUGACACCAAACACAAUGUUUGGCCUAGUUGUUGUUAAAUACAACAGGCAACCUACUAGGCUUCGAUACUACCUUUCAUCAACCCUUUCUUGAUCGCCAUUGCUAGUCAGUUUUUCUCCUUGAGCCACAGGUAUGCUUACUGUUUUACAGUUCUGCAUGCAAAAUUUAACAAGGAUCUUCAAAGUAAAUGUGUGUUGGCUGAUGAAGAUGCCUCGAUCAGACUGGUGCACUUCCAUUCCAAGGAAGUAUGUCAUGGUCCCUAAGUCAGUCAUCUCAAACACUUGCUGCAUUUGAACCUUGAACUCAUCAAUGAGCUCAGUUUUGCUCCCUGUCACUAAUAAAUCAUCCACAUACAAGGAAACAAUCAACAAGGUCUCUUGUUCUAACUUCUUAACAUAAAGGGUAGGUUCAUUAGGACUUUUCACAAAUCCAAGUUUGGACAGAUAGGUGUCAACUCUGUCAUACCAGGCUCUUGGCCUGCUUCAGGCCAUAAAAAGCCUUUCUCAGCCUGUACACCUUGUCUUUAUGUCCAGCAAUCUUAAAUCCAUCUGGUUGCUCAAUAAAGAUCUCCUCCUUGAGAAAACCAUUCAGAAAUGCUGAUUUCACAUCCAAUUGGUGAACCCUCCAAUGCUUCUGAGCUGCUAAAGCAAAUAGGAGCUUGAUUGUGUCCAGUCUUGCUACUGGUGCAAAUGUCUCCAAGAAUUCAACACCAUAUUGUUGAUUGUAGCCCUUCACCACAAGCCUAGCCUUAACACCUAUGACUUUCUUGUGGUGUUAAGCCUAGUCUUAACACCAUAUUGCUAUUGAUUGUGCUUGUUCAAUGAGCCAUCACCAUUAUAUUUGGCUCUGUACACCCACUUAACACCUAUGACCUUCUUGUGGUCUGGUCUGUCACUAAUUCCCAUGUUUGAUUCUUGUUUAUCAUCUCCAACUUAAUUUCCAUAGCUUUCAUCCAGUUCCUAUCUUUGGCAGCCUCUUCAAAAUCUGUAGGCUCGAUCACAGCAAUACUACACCUCUAAUAAACAUCAGUCAAGGUUCUGGUGCCCCUCACUGGUGUAUCAUCAAUAGCAUCAUCAAUUGGUCCCUUUUCUGUAUGCUCAAUAACCAAGUCCAUCUGAUCCAUUUCAAACAUGACUGCCUCAGUACCAUUCCACUUCCACACCUUUUCUUCAUCAAAUUUCACAUCUCUGCUGACUAAGACCUUCUUUGUUGAAGGAUCAUACACUCUAUAACCCUUCUUGUUACUGCUGCAGCCAAAAAAGACUCAUGAAAUAGCUCUGCUCUCGAGCUUGGUUCUCUUUUCCACUAGAACAUGUGCAUAGCACACACAGCCAAAAACUUUCAGGUGAGUUACCACUGGUUUGACUCCAUGCCAAGCCUCAAAAGGUGUUUUACCCUUGACUGCUUGAGUUGGCAGCCUAUUGAGCAGGUAUAUUGAGGUGUUGACUGCCUCAGCCUAAAACUGACUUGGAAGCUUGCUUUGAAACAACAGGCAUCUGGUCAUGUUUAGCACUGUUCUAUUUUUCCUUUCACAAACUCCAUUCUGUUAAGGAGUAUAGACUGUUGUAAGCUGAUGGUGAAUCCCAGCAUUUUCACAAAGCUUCUGAAAUCUAUCAGACACAUAUUCAGAGCCAUUAUCAGUCCUCAAGGCUCUAAUUUUACAACCUGACUGAUUUUCAGCAUAUGCCUUAAAUUUGCAGAAGACCUCAAAUACCUCUGACUUUUGCUUCAAGAAGUAGACCCAACACAACCUUGUUAGAUCAUCUAUAAACAGGUAAAAUACCCAUUGUCACUGAUUGAAGGUGUUCUCAUAGGACCACAAACAUCAGAAUGCACUAAUUCGAGCUUAUCUUGAGCUCUCCAAGCACUGUCAGCAGGAAAAUGCAGUCUAGCCUGCUUACCAAGCUGACAAACCUCACAAACAGUCCCACUAGCUUCAAUUUUAGACAUGUCUUCAACCAAAUUGAGUCUAUGCAACAUAUCAAUGAAUAUGAAAUUAGCAUGGCCUAAUCUCUUAUGCCACAAGUCAGUGCUAUCAGCAAGGCUGGUGUAUGCCUUUCUUUCCACUUGGCUAACAUCCAGAAUGAAGCAUUUAUCAGCCAUAGAGACUGUAACUAGCUCCUGACCAUGCAUGUCUUGAACAAUACAAUAGCCAUCCUUAAAGACCAAUGUAUAGCCCUUUUCAACUAAUUGGCCUACACUAAGCAAGUUCUGGUCUAAGUCAGGUACAAAGAGCACAUCAGUGAUUAGCUUGUUACCUGAGCCAGUGUUGACCAACACAUUGCCUUUGCCUUUAACCUCAAUUAGCUUCCCAUCUCCAAUUCUGAUCUUCGAGUAGAAGCUUCUGUCUAGCCCCUUAAACAGCUUCUCAUUAGCUGCCAUAUGGUGUGAGCAGCCACUGUCUAGUAGUCAAUCAUUGCUGGCCUUUGUUGUGCCAACAAAACAGGUUGCUAUAAACACAUACUCCUCUUGAGUUUGCAAAUCCUCAGCAGGUCGAGCCUGUUGCUGAGUGACCUCCUUUGGCCUGCCCUUGCACACCUUCUCCACAUGACCAAACUGCUUGCACUUCCUGCAUUGGAUGUCUGGCCUAAACCAACAGUAUUUUUCUGAAUGAGUUGUCUUUUUGCAGUGAACACAUGGUGGAAACACCUUUUUUGCUUCAUCUCUUCCUGGUUUGACCCUCCUAUUGUGCCAAGGCUUUUUGCCUUUUGCACUUGAACUCGAGCCUUCACUGGCUUUUACCUGGAAAGUAGCUUCAGGAUUUUCCUCCUGCCUAUUUGCCCUCCUUUACUCAAGUGCAUACAGGGAGUUUAUCAGCUCAGAAAAUAAAAUGGCUGAUAAGUCCCUCGAGUCCUCAAUUGAAGAGAUCUUUGACUCAAAUUUCUCAAGGAGAGUUGUGAUGACCUUUUCAACAACUCUGCUCUCUAUGAAGUCCACUCCAAGGAGCCUUAUGCUGUUGUCAAUGGCCAUUAUUCUGUCUGAGUACUGCUUGAUGGUCUCAGACUCCUUCAUCCUCAAAUUCUCAAAGUCUCUUUUGAGAUUGAUCACCUGUUGCUGCUUUAUCUUGUCAGUCCCCAUGAACUCCUCCUUUAGCUUCUUCCAUGCCUGCUUUGGUGAGUCACAGGCCAUGAUGUGAGUGAAUAUCACAUUAGACACUCCAUUUUAUAGACAGGCCAUAACCUUGUGCUUCUUGGCUCGCUCCUCAGCAUGCUGCCUCAUUUGAGCAAUAGUGAGAUUGGCUCUCAAUGGAGGUGGUUCAGCUUCAUUCUCGAUUACACUCCAAAGAUCGUGUGCCUAGAGGUAUGUCUUUAUUUUAACUAUCUAGAUGUGAUAGUUUUCUCCAGUGAACACUGGUGGUGGUGGUGGAGUGAAACUCAUUCUUCUUGUUUGAGUUUAACUGCUUUAAUCUUCUCUAAUUUUAAGCUUUGCUUUUGGUUUUGGUUUGAACACAACAAAAUGCAAAGCCCCCUCAAAGACUCGGGCUCAUGAUACUAUUUGUUGGAACAAUAGCAGCAUGUAUCAACCCAAUUAGCAAUCAAAACCAAAUGAGAUCGAAGCAGAAAAGAAAACAAAGCAAAAGCAAUAAACAAGACUUGAAUAUUCAGCAAAAUGUAACUGAACAACUUAACUUUUUCAUUCAAAUUUGAAAAACAUAUACUGGAGUUACAAUUUGACAUAGUUGACAGUUACCUAAUGAUAUAACUGCUCCCAAUUAAACUAAACUAAUACAAGCUUAAGUCAAAUACAAAGAUAAGCUGACAUACCAGCUUUUACAUAAAAAAAUCCAAUCACAAACUUAAUCCUACUAACUUUAGAAGCUAGUUAAAACUGAACUAAGUAAAAUUACAUAGCAACAAAAUGGCCAAAUCAGAUUACUUCAUUCGGUCCAGUUUCAUCCUUGCGCACCAAGCAAUGCUGCUGAGCUCGAUGGCCAACCAUACUGCUGGUUUCAUGUUGCAAUGCAGUCCAGCUUUCAACAAUCUUGACAAUGGAGGCAAAGGAAUGGUUGGCUUACUGUCCUCCUUUUAUGUCUAUAUCAUUUGGAAUUUUCUUUUAGGUUGUCUUUUAGAAUGUAAUCCCAAAAUCUAUGCAAUACAGACUCUACCCAAAAAGAAAAAUCAAAUUCAACUUUGAAUUGGUACUGCCUUAUCAGGAUCAUAGUUUUCAAAGACAUUAGGAUUUUGAUCUAAAUAUAAAUCUUACAAAUAAAUAAGUGAUGUGUAUUUGAGAGCACCAAAAAUAUCCUAUUCCUAUAAAAUAACAAAAAGAAUAAUAUAAGGUAAGUAGGGUCAAAUCCUUAGGGACUGGACUUGCACAAGUUCCUUUUUCUCGAGAAACUAAGUAGUGUCGUGCCCAUGAAAAACGACAUACCUGAAAAAAAAUAGAAUUAAAAGUUUGGUUGAAUUGACAUUACGUAAAUUGAAAUUAAAAUUGUAAAGGUAAAUAGAGUUGAGAAAAGAGAGUUUUUGAUGGAGAGAUUUCAACCUUCGAUUAUCUCGAUCCUCCUUCGGUUCAAUCCUAGGCUUUUAGGUGAUCCUUCUCGAACAGAAUAAGCCAGUUAUAAUGGAAGAGGAUGCCCACGACCACCAGCUCCACUUAAGUUUUAGACUUACGAUUUAGAGGAACCUGACCCUACCCAACCAUUGCUUCUGUGGACUGUCUUACACUAGAUCAUCACUUCUCAAUGGCGAAUGCCACACCAUCUUGUCUCUUGGGCUCGACAACCACUGACACAGUAGGCUAACGAACUGACUAUGCAACCUUAUCAACACAUACAAAGCGGCCGCCUUUGCACAAGAUUAAAAAAUAACUUUUGAAGGGACAUGGACGAAGUGUCAGUCCUGUAGUACGGAGAAACGAUGAAUACUCGUUGAGAAGACUAAGUUCAGAUUCUAAGCCUCAUGAAUCCUUUUGGGGAAUCUCAACAACCUUUGGCUAGAUUAAUUUAGUGGCUCAUGCUUUUUGGGAAAAAAAGAAAUAAAAUUAAUAAAAAUGAAAUUUUAUUGAAUAAAUGAAAGGAACAAAGCUAGAGCUUUUUGGGAGAGGGAGCUUUUACAGAAAAGAUAGUGAAAUUGGUGUCAAUCCAUCCCCUAUUUAUAGUACUCAGAAGACCUAGUUUAUUCCUAUCUAAAUUUUAAAAGAUAAAUAAAGAUAAAAGCUAAAAUUAAAUCUUAACAAUAAUCCUAAUAUAAUUAAAAUUUAAAUAGAGUAGUGUGUUUAUAAAAUCUCUUUUUUAAACUGUUGCCCCCAAGUCUUCCACACUUUGCAUUUUCGGCACCACUUCUUUCCUAGUUCGCAUGUUGGCCCAUUUUAUCUUCAAAUUCAUGCUUUUGGCCCCUAAAUUUUCUUUUUCCUUCAAUUUAGUCCCUACAAAAUAAAACACCAUAAAUAGCUCAAAAUAGUAGGAUCAUACUCAAAAUAAAUAUGUAAUUAAUACAUAAAAAUAUGUCAUUCCAGAGUAUUACCAAUAAGAAUUAAUUGCACUAAAAAUUUUAAAACGUUCUAAUUAUGUCUCCACACUAUCACACUAUCGUACUGUAACAGAGUCAGUUGACAUAGGAGUCCAUGCGUUAUAAAACAGAUUUAUCAAAACUUAACAAAUAAUAUCAGAUUUUCCAUGAAGUCACAUGCACGGUUAUAAGUCAGAGUCAAUACCAAUCAAUUCAACAUAUUCGUAUAUCACAUGUUCUUAAGCAACAAAGCAACGUAAAGGAACACCAACAAACUUAACUGAAUACAAAUUGUACCUAGAUAAUUCCCAUGCAUUAGGCAAGGGCACAUUAUGUUCUGACAGACCCUACUUACUUAGGUUCAACAUAGCAGACAUAUGUAUAGAUCACAAGUUAUUCAUCAUUAGAUUAUCAGAUAUCAAAUUAUAUAGCUUAAUUAUGAUCGUACGGACCCUACAGUAGGCCUGUGUUCGUUUCGAAUGAUGCUUGUGGCCUGAGGGAAAAAUUUCAAAUAUUGGUCCACACGUUUGUGUGGUUUCACAUGGCUUGGAAAGCUAGCUCGCGUGCCUCCAUAUGGUUUGGCACACGCCCGUGUGCUUGCCCGUGUGGUCCUAAUUCGCAAAUAGUGGGUUACACGGCCUAGACACAUGUUAGUGUCAUUGGCCUAUGUGAAUCCUACUCAAGACAUAAACACACAUGGUCUGGACACACGCCCUGACACAAACUUUAAAUCAAACUUAUAGGUAACGAAUUGAACCAGAAAGUAGAAGUCUAAUCUCGUACGUGAUCAAUUUGGCGUAACAUAACAAAAAAGAAAGGUAGUUUGAAGAGAAUAAUCAAAACGAAAAAAAUAAAGAAAGAACAGAGGAAUGGUAACAAUAGAAACGAAAAGUAAAAAGAAAAGCUAAACAUAGGUCAUUAAACCAGCAAGCUCAUUCUUGUCAUCAAUUGACUAAAUUUAACUUUUAACCUACAUGUCCAAAGAUAGUGGUUUAAUCAAAGUAGCAAAAUUUCAAGAGAUAAGAUUCGAACUUAGAACCUCACAUACAUAACUAGAACACUUAACCACUAAACCAAACCAAUUUACUUACCAAAAAUUUCCAAAGUCUAAACUCAAACCGAGGGAUGACCACUCUUGGUUUCAAAACUCAAUUUCUUCUAACCCGAUUUUUGGGAUGUUACAUAUAUCACAUAUGUUGACACCACUUACUGGGGGUGCUAAGGCUUCUUUUGCCUGCCCCAACUAUACCCCUGAUUUUGUUUUCUCAAAUUUCACUUUCUCAAGAAAUGUUCCAUUUGACAACCAAAAUGGUAGCAUCUAGGUUGGGAAGAUUGAUGGAGAAUUUCACCUUUGCCUCAUUUAAAAAGUAUAAAUUCCUUCUCUUCAUGCAAGUCAUGAAUUCAAAAAAAGUGAAAAGAACAAAUUAAGAAAAAUAAAAAAAAACUAUAUUCUUUUAAGAUUGCUAUCCUAUAGAAAGGUCAUUGUAAAAAGUUGAAUAUAUAUGUAUGUAUAUAGCUAGUAGCAUCAAAUUUUCCCAACCACUCUUAACAAUUAAAUAUAAUUAUUUGGUAUAUUGAAAGUGAAAUUUAAAUUUCCAUGUGAUAUUUAAAAACCGUAACUAAUAUUUAUUUAUGAUAUAUAUAAAAACAUGAAUUUGAAGGAGGGGUGAAUAAAACUCGAUUCGAUUCGAAAAAAUUAAAAAAAUUUAAAUUUUGAAUUAAUCGAUCAAGUUAUUCAAAUUUCGAGUUUGAGUCAAAUUAAAUUUUACAAUUUGAAUAACAGAUUUGUAUAAAUACCCUUUUGGUCCUUAUCAAUUUUGAAAAUGAGUAAAUUGGUCCCUCUCAACAACACUUACAAAAAAAUUAAAAUAAUUUUCAAAAAUUCAAAAAUUUAUAUUUUUUAAAAAAUUAUAAAUUUUAAAAAAAUUCUAAAGAAUAUAUAAAGAAAGUUAAAAUUUUAAAUUUUCUAAAAUAAUAAAUUUGAGAUCUAAAUAAGUUAAUUAAUAGGUUGAGUUUAUCAUAUUAAAAUACCUUUUUUUUUCUUUGCUUUGAAAAAGUUUUCAUAUAUAUAUUGUUUCAAAUUUAUGUGCUCUAACAUGAAAUUAGUUAUAUUGAAACAAUAUUUUAAUUUGACAUGUUUAAUUUUUUUAAUUUAACUUGAACAAUUUCACUCGACUUGAUUCGACUUGACUCGAAUUUCAUUUCACUCAACUUGAUUCAAAAAAAAUUUUCAAAUCAAGUUAGGAUGAUAAAAUAAGACUUUUCAGUUCGAUUAACUCGAAAUUUUUUCACUCGUUUCCAUCAAAUGCUCACUCCUAAUGUGAAGAAACUUUUGAACAGACGAUGAUACUUUUUAUUAUUAAUUAUACUACUAAAUUGACAUUAAAAAUAAUUUAUUAGUAUCUUUUUCUGGUAGAUAAUAAUGAAUAUUAAUGUGAUAAUAAUGAAAGUAAUAUUAAUUAAUAGAAGAGUAUAUUAAUGUGAAAUUAAAUAAUUUCAGUAUAUCUUUUAAAAGUUCAUAAAAAAAAUAUAUUAUUAAUAAUUAAAAUUUUAAAAUUUAUAAAAUAAAUGAAUGUAAUUAGAUAAAUUAAAAAAAUAAACAAAAGUUUUUAAUUAAAUAGAUAUAAUUUUUAUAUAUAAUUAUGAUUUUAUUUUAAAUAUGAAAAUAAUUAAUCAUGUUAAAAUUAAUUUUUUUAUAAUUAAUAAAAAUUAAAUCUAUAAAUAUGAUUUUAUUUUCAAUAUGGUAAUAAUUAUUUUACUAAUAAUGCUUUCAUUAUUAGUGUAAUAGUGAUUAUCACUUAAUUAUACUUUGAAUCCAUAUUAAAUUACGCUUAUUAUUUUAGAUUAUCACUUUACUAGUGUUACAAUUAUAUGCCAAUUAAAAUUAAUAUUUAACACUAUAAAUAUAUGCAUUAGUAAAAUAUUUUCAUUCAAAUAACAUCUAAAGAAUUACUCGAAAAACCAUAUUUUAGGAUUUUAUUUGCAUCACAAAAAAAUGUAUGAUUAUUAUUAUUUUAUAAGAUUAGUUGUUAUUAUUUGAUAUUCGAAAGUUUUACUGUUAUUUGAUUUUAAUAACACUUAUGCUAACGAUGUAUAGAAUAAUUACUUUUUUUCUUACGAAACUUAAUUUUUUUUUUGAAAUAUCUCAAUAUAGGUUCUAAUUAUAUUUGUUCAUCUUGACACAAUACUUAGAACUACUUACAACCCAUCCCCAACCCAUGAAUAGGAGGAUAAUGCGUUUCAGCGCACUCGAAUCCACGUUCUUCUAUAUUGACAACAAUACCCAUAUUAAUCAAAUUAACACUCAAUCGACACCAAAUUUUAAUUUUUUAAUUUAUUAUUAAUUUAAAAUUUCGUAUCACCUAAACAAAAAGGAGUGGGUUUGGAAAGAGUUACAAAAUAAAGCAAAUGGAAAUAAAAUCAAAGUUUGAAAAAAAUGGCUUGGAAGGUACAACUUGUGCUCUAUCUAUUUCCCUUUUUGUGUGGAAUUCCACUUAUUUAAUCAAUUAUCUCAAAAAGGUAGAAUUACAAAAUUCACCUCUAAUGUUCGUGAGUUUUUCACUUUGGCUCUUAACUUUUUUUUUUCUUCACUUUCCCACCCAUAGUGUUGCAAACAAUUUCAAGUAAGGCCAAACUUAAUGAAAAUCGUCAAGAAAUAUCAACAAAUAUUUUUGUCCAACGUGGCAACACCUUAGUUGAUGACAUCAUUGAUGACACAAAAUUUUUAGUUUAAAAUUAUAAAAAUUUAAAAAGAAGAGAAAAUUUUUAAAAUGUAGGAAAUAACAAAAUGUAAAAGCAUUUUUCUUCUACCCUCUCCCAAAUGUAACACGCCUAACCCGUAUUCGUCGCUGGAUUAGGGUUACAAGGUAUUACCGAUCAAGACAUAACUUUCAAACAAUUAUAUAUGCACACCUGUUAUAUUCAAAUUAAUAAAACAAAUGACUGAUUACAUAUUAAAUAUACAUUAUUAAUCGCAAAACAAAUAUAAUAUCUUAUGCAUAUAAUCAUAUUUACAACUUAAUAAUCAUGUACUUCAAAAUAAAUGCACGAAUCGUGUGCUUAUCAUUAAAAUGGUAUUUAAAUACAUAAUAAAUUUUAAACAUUUUAUUUCUUAAUAAUAACCAUGCACUUAAUAGACCAAACAAAUCAUAUCACAAAGCUUAUGCCCGGCAUUAACAAAUGUACCAAUUGAUUUAAUAUACUUCAUUGAGUAAUCAAUUAUAUGCACACGAUGUCAAUCAUACAAUCCUCAAUUCGGCUAGCCAAUUAACCUAUAAAAGCUGAACUCAAAUCAUGCAAUACUAACAUUAGCCGAAUCUGCAUGUGCAUAAAUACUAAUUUUAAACUUAUUUUCAAUUCAACUAUACAUCAAUAUAUAAUACUAAAACAUGCUUAUCUUCUUAUUACAAGAUUAUACGCAUAUGCAUACACCAACUGAGCCAUUUCCGAACAUCCAUUAUCCGAACCUAUUGACUAAAUAUUUUAGUCUUUGUACUCCUAUAAUAAACAUCAAUCAUAUUUCAUUUUCAUAUGCAUAACCAAAUUGAAUAACUCUAUACAUGAAACAUCAACUUAAUACUCCAAUAUUUCAUACUAUUUCUAACAAAAACGCUAUAUAUAUAUUUAAUGUCCAAAAUUUAACAAAACAUAUUUUUCCUUAGUAAAAUUACCCAAAUCCUAAAACUAAUAUACCCACUCGUCGAACAACUUCAACUUAGCACACACAUCUAAAAUAAACAUUUAUCCAAAUACCAAAAAUGAUAUCUAACUAUCCAUUAAUUCACAUCUAAUUUAGUUAUAUAACCCUACAAUUAUUAAACUUCUGGAACACCUAUUUCAUUAUCAUCAUUUUAAUCAUAAGUUUCUUUUACUAAAUAAACCAAAUCAAACUUUCAAAACCUCCAUGUACCAUUUAAGCAUCAUCUCAAACAAAUUCAUCACGAAUAUAAGUAUUAAGUGCUGAAUCAUGAAUAGCUCAAAUAUCAUAGUCCAUACCUAUAUCAUCAUUUGACCGAUUGUCAUUACUACAAAACAUAGUUAUUUAUCACAUAUAUCACAUUCAUAUACCACUCAACUAACAUAUGAAAUAAUCUAACUCUACUGACAUACUUACUUGCCAUAUUACCCAGUCACAAGCCAAACAUCACAAGCAUGAAUAUCAUAAAACAUAACCCAUUAUUUUCAUGCCUUAUAUAUAUCCCAAAAUCAAACCCAUCAAGUAUUUAACCAAGAACAUAUAAAACUAAGCUUAACCAAAAUGAAUAAGCCAUUUUUCGCAUGGCUUAUAUUUACAUAUCCUAAUAUCAAACAUAUUAACUAGACUAUACAUGCCAUAGGUUCAAAUUUAAAUUUAUAAAAUACCAAAGAUGGUCGAUAGUGUGAUAGAAUUUUUUGACGAUCCCCGAGCUCGUAACCAACUUUCAAAAUCUAAAAAAAAACAGCAAACAUACACAUAGUAAGCUUUCACAGCUUAAUAAGUCAUAAGCAAUGGAAACAUUUAAUCAUAUACAAAAUUAAUCUAGACAAACCGAAAUAAACCAUUAGUAACUCAUAUACCUUUCCAACUUAUAAUUUCAUAAGUCAAAACAUAUAAGUUUUGCAUAAAAUUCUCCUUUGACCGAAUACCCAUUCAAAUAUUAGUACACUUAACCAUUACUUUUUAUAAUACAUUUACAUUUACAUCAUUAGGCCUAACAUAUAUUAUCACAAAAUUCACAUUAAAAUAUAACAUUAUACUAUCAAUUCAACAUUCAACUUACCUUAUUUCUUUUUAUAUAACUAAUUAGUAUGAGUACGUAUCUGAGCAUUUCUAGCUUGAUUUUUCACUCGAUCUUAAUUUAUUAUUGUCCGUUGAACCAUUCGGAAUUAAAAAGGAUCUUAACUAUAAAUAUCUGCAUUAGUAAAAUAUUUUCAUUCAAAUAACAUCUAAAGAAUUACUCGAAAAAUCAUAUUUUAGAAUUUUAUUUGCAUCACAAAAAAUGUAUGAUUAUUAUUGUUUUAUAAGAUUAGUUGUUAUUAUUUGAUAUUCGAAAGUUUUACUAUUAUUUGAUUUUAAUAACACUUAUUCUAACGAUGUAUAGAAUAAUUACUUUUUUUUACCAAACUUAAAUUUUUUUUGAAAUAUCUCAAUAUAGGUUCUGAUUAUAUUUAUUUAUUUUGACACAAUACUUAGAACUACCUAUAACCCAUCCCAACCCAUGAAUAGGAGGAUAAUGCGUUUCAGCGCACUCGAAUCUACGUUCUCCUAUGUUGACAACAAUAUCUAUAUCAAUCAAAUUAACACUUAAUCAACACCAAAUCACAAAAGAGAUAAGAGUUGAGAAAUGUUUAACAAAUACUGAAGAAGUCUUUGAUGACGACAUUGAUAACAAGCAAGAAAAAGUCAUAAAUCUAAAGUUCAAAUUAACACUUUACAAUUUUGAAUAACUAAAAUAUUUUAAACUAUUAAAUACUAUAAAAUAUUUUAUAUUUUUUUAGUAUUUUUUAUCUUUAUUUUAUUGUACAUAUUUGAGGUUUAUAAUUUUCUCUCUCAACAAUAUUGUCUCAAAAAUUUAAAUGAUGUGACUUAUCACUGUAGGCAUUUAAUUGGUCCAAAUCAAAAUAUAACUCUUUCAACUGUGUGAACGAGUCAAGGUCUCAUCACCUAAUUCAAUUAUCUUAAUUAGAUGAUCAUUUACAAUUCAAUACUAGAUUAUCAUACAAUCAAAAUAUGAAUGAAAAUAAAUUAUAUAAUUAAUAUAUUAAUUAAAAUUUUAUAUAAUGAGUAUUUACGGAUUGACUUAGCUAUAAUAAUAAUCAUAACCACUCGUUAUUGGAUUGAGGUUGAACACAAGUCUUGACUCUAAAACUUUAUUUAAUGUGAUAAAAUAUAAAUAAGUAUUAUUCAUACGAAUUUUUCCGCAAGCUCUUGUUCUUGGAAAUUUCCUAUGUCCAGUGAGAGAUGUACAGUAAUAACUAUAUAUUUAUGAUCAAUUUCGAAGUUUUUGCAAUAAGUUCUUAAUCACAGUCUUUCUGUCUGAAGAAAUUCAUGUCUAUGGCUGUGGACUGUUCCAUAUUCUGUAGGACGAAACUUUGUUUUAUUAAUGCUUUCUUCUUCCUGUUUAUCAUCUCCUCUUUCACAUGUCUUCAUGUAGUCUUCGGCACUGCAAAUGAAUUUGAUUAUGGCCUUCACUGUAACUCAAUUGUUCAUGAAUCCAAACCAGCUGAUGAGGAGUUCAAUAUCAUGCCUUUCUCUCGACGUCAAUAUGGUUACUUCAGUGGUGGUGAUAAAGACCCAAACAAUCCUCCUUCACGUUCGUACUCUGCACCCAAAUCUAAAAGGCUCCUUUUUGAGACUCACCACGUAUUUACAGCCGAAGCUGAUGAUGUCUUUAUGGUGGAAGGAAACCUGAUUUUUCAAACCUCGUUUUACUAUGAACGGAGUAUCUCCUCUGGAAGCUCAUACGUUAUAAGUUCAAGCGACCGUGGGACACUGGACUUCGAUUUUCGAGGCUUCUGGUCUCGAACAACUGGGAAGCUUUGCAUGGUGGGAUCGAGUCAUGCUUACUCCAAAGAAGGUAAACUGCUUCACCUUGCUGCUGUUCUUAAGAUUAAUAAUCUUCAGACUUCAAGUAAUAUUAGUACUUUAGUCACCGGUACCAUGGAUAGCUUGAGUUCUGCUAAUGAUCCAAAUCACUUUGAGGAAAUAUCACUGCUGAUGUUUCCUCGAGUAAAUUACGCUUACACCAUGAUUUCAAAUCAGUUCAGUGAAGGGUGUCCUGGGGGAAUCGAUGUCCAACCGAUGUCGUCCCUCCGCUUAUCGCAAACUCGAACUAUUUGUGAUAUGUUAGGUGGAAGCAAUGCUUUCAAAUUGGAGUAUACUGGCAGUUGUAAUUUUUCAAAGAGUUGCAAUCCAUUUGGUGAUGGUAUUGGAUCAGUAGUAUCAUUGCGUAUGAUUCAGUGCUCAAACGAUAGGCAAAGCUUGAGGCUUCUGAUAGAAUUUCGGAACGAUAGCUAUCAGGGAUACUAUAGCUCUCCCAAUCUCAACACUUCAUUAAUUGGAGAAGGAUCUUGGGAUGCAAAGAGUAAUCGGCUUUGUAUCAUUGCUUGCCGAAUUUAUGAUGCAUGGAGCUCCUUGGAGAAGUCUCAUGUUGGAGACUGCACGACACGGUUGAGCUUAAGAUUCCCGGCAAUCUUGUCUAUCAGAAACACAAGCACUAUUGUAGGAGAAAUUUGGAGUGAGAAGCCUAGGUAUGAAGGUGGUUUCUUUGAUAGGGUCGAGUUCCGAAAUACUGGACGUUAUGGAGGACGAAUUCAACUUCAAGGUUUGAAGUAUGUAUACACGGAAAUGGCCGAAGUGAAGAAAUCAUGUCCAAAGAAGAAUCCUAAGACUAAAAGCAGUAGGGAACACUAUCCAGAUGGCUAUUCUGGUAAUCUGGGUUUUAGAAUGUCGAUCAUCAAAGGUUCCAAAGGAAGAAUCGGAUGGGGUUCUUCGGAUCCUCUUGCGGUAGGUGAUCAGCAAGAUCAGAGAUUUCCGUCUCUAAUACCAUCCUCAAGCUCAAAGCCUAAAAGUUCUGGCGUUGAAUCCAAUUCCAGCAGUGGCUUGCUUAAUAUCAGCUAUAAAAUGAGUAUCAUGCUGCGUAGUUCGGAAUUGGAUGGUGGCCUUAAUACGGUUAACGAAUCUUCAAAUGAAUAUUUGAAAACCGAAAUCCGAAUUUCUGCUGAAGGGGUUUAUGAUAUAGCAACAGGUAGCCUAUGCAUGGUUGGCUGCAGACAUUUAAGGUCAGGUGACAAAACAUUUUCAAGCCAUUCGAUGGAUUGCAAGAUCCUGGUGAAAAUCAAUUUUCCUCCAUUGAACUCGGACAGGAGAAGUACGAUCAAAGGAAGCAUCGAAAGCACACGUGAAGAAAUCGAUCCUCUGUCCUUCAAGCCCCUGCAGUUUUCGGGAAGAGCUUAUUAUCGCAGUUGGGUUACGGAAUCAAUUUGGAGAAUGGAUUUCGAGAUGGACAUGUUGGUAAUAUCCAAUUCUCUUGCAAUUAUCUUUGUAGCAUUUCAAAUCCUUCAUGUCAGGAAGCACCGUGGCAUUGGUCCUUUCGUUUCACUUCUAAUGCUUGUUAUUCUAGCCCUGGGACACUUCAUCCCUUUGGUUCUAAACCUCGAAGCAAUGUUCAUUCAAGAUAGCAAGAGAUCGGUCUUGAUUAGAGGUGGAAGGCGGCUCGAAAUGAACAAGGUUAUCAUUAGAGUCGUCACAAUGGUGGCUUUUCUGCUGCAAGUCCGUCUUCUGAUGCUCUCAUGGACUGCUAGAUGCUCCACUGAAAAGAAAAAGACCUUGUGGAUUGCAGAGAAAAGGGGGCUGUAUGUGUGUGUUCCGGUGUAUGUAAUCGGAGCUAUUAUCGCUUUUUCAGUUAAGUCAAGGCAGAAUGUACAUCUAACUUGGUACUACAUAGAUGAAAUCAUUUUGGGGAGUUCAAGAGCUUAUGCUGGUUUGGUACUGGAUGCCUUUCUUUUUCCUCAAAUAAUCUUCAAUAUGUUCCAGAACUUGAGAGAACCAGCACUUUCUCAUUUCUUUUACAUCGGAAUCACCCUUGUUCGCCUCGUACCCCAUGGAUAUGAUCUGUACAGAGCAAACAACUAUGCUGAUAUAGAUGACUCAUACAUCUACGGAGAUCAUGGUGCAGAUUACUACUCAACGGCUUGGGACUUCAUUAUUAUUGUGUUGGGUAUAUUCUUUGCUGUGAUCAUACACUACCAACAGCGCCUCGGUGGUCGAUAUUUCCUUCCGAAGAGAUUCCAAGAAUCUGUGAUAGAUGAGGAAUUUCCGGUAGAUUCGGAAGAACAAUUGCCAUUGAGAUAUAACACCUAGUGCAUGCUUUAAGUGUUAACUACUUUUGUUACCGUGGACUUGUUUUUAGUACUGAUUCGAAAUAAUAAAUAGAACUGUUCUAAAAAAUGUUUUAUUGUAGCUUGGGUAAGUGUUGGGUAAGAAUAUACCUCCAAUAUGAAUAAGUUUGAAGAGUACAUCUCCUUAUCCAUGUUUAAAUAUGUAUCCAACAUGGAUACAAAGAGAAGAUUUAAACUGAUAAUAAUUCAUUAAUCAUACGAAGUCCAUAGAUAUGACCAUUCCAUCAUAGUGUACAAUGAGAUUCAGACAUAAGACAAACAGGCAUGAAAACGCACUCAAUGUCUCAAACUCAACAACAAAACACCAAUUUAUUCAACUCAAAUUUAUUAUUUUUAGGUCCUAAUAUUGCUAUGGACUAAAACAUCAUGGUUCUAUGUCUGCUUAAUGAGUGCCACAUGUGUAGUUUGUGCAGCUGCAGCUAUCUCCACACUUGCACUUGCCAUCGUUCUCUGCCACAGCCUCGACCACUACAGUGCUGAUGUAGCUGCAAAGAAAUAUCACAACAGAUUAUAUUUAAGCAUAUGUGUUCCACUGUGCAAGACAUAGCUUUUUUUUUGCUUCUCUAGGUAAUAAUAUGAUUACUUAUCCAAAUGGGUUCAAUUUUGGUUAAAUUAUUCAAUAUUGGUCCUAAUAUACCUCUUUUCAGUCUCAAUGACCAAGCUAUUUCCUUUCUUCCUGCAAGCAUAACAAAAAAAGCCUUCAGUUUCAAUGAUAAUUGAUUGCAAACUCAUGCAUUUAGUCACAGCAACCUUAGUAAAUUUAUAUUUUAUCUAUGAAAAAAAUUAUAAUUAAAUUCCGGCAGCUAAUAAAUAUUUUUUUUGAAUUUGCCCCUAGUAGUGCAUACUACAGCUAAAAAACAUGCAGAACUAACUUAGGAACAAUAACAAAAUCAAAGAACCACACACAACAGUAGAAACUGGUCGAAAGCUGAUGAUAAAAGGAUGAUUUCUUACACGCACUGACUCUUGUCAGAGCAGUCGCAGUUGCCGCACUUGUCAGACAUGGUGAAUUUGAAAAAGUUGAGAAGUAAAAGGUUUGUUUGAGUUUCUAAAGUAGUUAAGCUAGCUUGCUAUGUAUAUCCAAAGCUAUGCACUUGAUGUAUUUAUAGAAGAGGAAGUACAUUGAAAUGGUGCAAAGGGAAGGCAUCUGUAGGGGCCCAAGCAGGCAUGAGAGAAGCACACGCCUCUGCUACAAAGGAAACGAAUCUUGAUAAUGGAGGCAAAGAAAUGGUUGGCUUACGGUCCUCCUCUCAUGUCUAUAUCAUUUGGAAUUUUCUUUUAGGUUGUCUUUUAGAAUGUAAUCCCAAAAUCUAUGCAAUAUGGACUCUACCCAAAAUGAAAAAUCAAAUUCAACUUUGAAUUGGUACUGCCUUUUAAGUUGAUAUUUAUAUAUCCAACCGAACUUUCAUAGAUCCUCUUUGUUAAUUCUAACACUUACAUAUUCCCCCAUAAGGUCGAGGCGUUCACCAAUUGUGGUUUGCAUUUACAUGUUCUAUUGGAGGUAAAUCUCAUUUCAAAUCAUAAUCUCCAUACAUUUUGCCAUCAUAUCUCAACAGUUUCCACCCUUUCCCCCUUCCACCAUCCAAGAUACGGAGCUUGUGCACCAAGGAUAAGUAUCCAUUCACAAUCUUUCUUACGCAUAUCGUUAUUAUCAUUUUAGUUUGUUAUCACUGACAUGCACAAUUGAUUUUAAAUAAACUUGCUUACUUGGAGAAGAAUAUUAUCAUGAAAUUAGAUGGAAUUUAACUGGAGCACAAGUGAAAGGAACUCACCAGAUUUUACCAGGAAAAGCUUUGCUUAUUCUAUGGGUUCUUUCCCUUUUGCACUAGGGCCUUCUCCCAUUUCUUUAGUUAAAUAAGAUUAAACAUUUUAUUAAGUACAAAAUCAAUCUAAACUUAAAGGUAAAAACAAGAAUCGAAAACAUGCAAACAUUAAUCAGAAGGAAGUUUCUUUCCUAUCUACCUCUAGUAGAAACCUAUAGUAAUGGUUCCUACUACCCUAUCAUUCUUCAUAUAAAACUAAAGGACCUAAGAAUUUACCAGUUGUUAGCUCAAAAACUGGUACCUUCUUCACGCAGCGAAGAACACACUAAGUUUCUUCUGGGGGAACAGGAAUGAACAGUGAAAAAUGGUGAAUAAAGUCAUCCUCUGUUAAGCUCUUAUCUUAUUUAUAUAGGAAUUAGCCCGUAAUUCCACUAUAACAAGUUACCUAAUCAUUUUACAUACACACUCUAUUCCACUAAUCAAACGAGGUUCUACAGAUGUCUUGCAAAAAUGACAGUUCCUAACUUAAAAUUUUGACACAUAAUUGAUGCAUGUCCCACCUACCCAGGCUAUCAACAGAAAUAUCGAAUGACUUACCUUGCUAUAAAAGAACUUGCCACUAGUGUGUCCACACAUGGAAGAACUUGCCAAGCAAAGGAGUUCGCCAAACGCAAGAAAGUGAAAAUCCAUCAGACUGCGGAACACAACGAAAUAAUCCGCUAGGCGAGUCUGCCCAAAAAUUUGGCUAAUCUUGCUGAUUAGAAGGACUAAAUUGCAAGAUCACAUCCAUCGUGUUAGCCGGCCAAAAUACGGAUUCUAAGGUUUGGGGUGUUAUAACUAGGGUUGCCCCAUUCUACAUCUUGAUUGAACUAGGAUUUCACUUUUCUAAUAAAAAAAACUUCUACAACUUAAUAAUUUUACCUUAUCUUAUUAUAAAUAAAUGGCACCGAUAUGGCAUAAAUAACGAACUUUGAAAGAUUAUUAUGCUACCGAAAAAUAGAGAGUUUUAUUGGCAACUAUUAAAUAUAUUUUUCCGGAAUAAUAAUUUUACUAGUUUCUUUUUGAGAAGAGAGAAUUUUUGUUUUCACCCCAUAAUUAAAGAAAAAUUUUCUAGUUUUGUGUUUUGAUUCAAUUAGUUUGUGCUCACACUCGAAACAUUUCAUGGUUUAAGAAUAGUAGAGAAGAUUGUUUGGUUGAAUCCAGAAAAUGUUAAAGAUCCGCAUAUCCAAAAACAUAUAUACGAUUUUGGUCUAAAAUUUAUUACUAUAAAUAUCAUAAACCGGGUUAUUUUCAAAAUAUUAAUUUUUCGUUAUGCAAAAAAACCAUUUUCAAACUAAAUUUUUUUCAACACCAAGCACAUACUAAAUGUGAGGUUGAAACAACCACACAUUAAGAGUCAGAGCAAUGAUGAGCAACAAUUUUUAGCAAACACGUGUUCGAGUGUCACUGGCUAUGAAGUGUUGAGGCAUACGAAUGAUGGAACACACCAUUUUGAAACAAUUCUACAUAUUCUUGUUUCCUUCAACCUUGAAGCAUUUUUGUUGUUGCUGGGUAUUGAAAUUUGCUCUGGUGCUCUUGUUUACCUGCUACGGACACGUGGUACCACGAGAGGAAACCUAAGAGACGCUCACGAAUGAUCCUUCUCUUUGCAACACUUGUCUUAUUCUCUACUUGAAGGUCACUCAAAUGACCAUUUAUCUGGACACUUCAUCCUCUUGGCCACUUCCUUUUAGUGGGAACACACUAACUCACAAGGGGAAACCAUGCCGCUAAGGUGUAACAACCUCAUUCCAAGAAAUGUUAGAGCAUCAUCAAAACUAACCUACCACCUGGCCAACCAUAUGAUCAAACCACCGCUCGUACUAUCGGUGACAUGGCACCAACAACCACGAGACCUCCUAUAAAUACCUUCCAUAAUGCUGAAGGAAGGAUCUUUCUGCCUUCAACAGCCCUAAGCACUCUUUAGAACCCUGUCUCCUUUGCUACCUUACCUCCCUCGCUGCCUUCCUCUUUUUUCCGACUCUUCACUUAUUUAAGUGAAUUGAUCUUCCUUAUACCACCACCUCUCCUCAUCUCAUCAAUUACUAAUACCCAAUAUCAACAAAAUAUAAAUACGAUAUCUGUUAAAGAGAUACAUAAUAUAUGAAAUCUAUUAAUAACAAUUUCAUUGCUCCAAUCAAUUGUGGUGAACUUUUGUUUAGAUUUAUUUCCCUGAAUAAAUUUAAUAGUAAAUUGUAGUUUGUAGACACCGAAAGCACGUUUCAGGCCAGAAAAAAAAGACAGCGAAAGCUGGUGGAAGGUUUCAAGUUUCUGAUUUUAAGUCAAGUCAGCUGUUGUAGUUUCUGAUUUUAAGUCAUGUCAGCUGUUGUAGGACCUGCCAAUAAAAGCCUUUUGUCUGGACCCAAAAAAUUGGCAAAAAGAAGAAGAAAGGUGCAUGCUGAUUGACAUUGACUUAGCUAUAUGCCAAAAUUAUAAUAAUACAUGGAUUGAAGUAGGGCACAAGUACUAUUCAUACUAGUGCGAAACCCCUUGCUUUGUUGACUUGCUUAAGUGAUAAAAAUUAAUUUUAAUUCGUAAUUCAUUUAAAUUUUUUAUAUUAUUAUUUGUUUUUAAAUUAUAAAAAAAUAUAUAGAAUUAUUAGAUAAAUAUAUGUCCGGAAUGAACUUGAAGAUAUAAUUGUUCAGAUUCACUUGUAUCUAAAUAACUAUUUGUCCAGAUUUAUUGUGCACUUAAAAUAAAAAAUCCUAAAAUUCAAGAAAAAAUCUACAAAAUUUAUAAAAAAAAAACGUAAAAUUUUAGUAAAUACAAGAGUAUAUAUUAAAAAAUUCUAUUUCUAUUUUUUGAAAUUAUAAAAAAAUAAAAACACAAAAAAAGACAUUACGAGCGAAUCUAGUUAUAUGGUUGUCCAAAAAUUUAAUUGUUCAGAUUCAUUAUGCAUGCAAAAUAAAAAAUAAAAUUCCUAAUUUUUAAUAUUUUUAAAUUUUUAUAAAAAUUAUUUUUGGGAUACGUCUCAACAUUCUAUACCAUCAGACCAAAAAUUAAUAAUGUUAGUUAAGUAUGAGCAAAAAAUACCAAUUUGCCUUAUAAUUUUUAGUCGAUUGAGUUUUAACUCGAUUGACAUAAAUACUAUAGUCAAUAUAGAAGGCCAUGGGUUCGACUAUGCUAAAAUACAUUAUACUCCUAUUUAUGAGGUGAGAAGGUAUUAUAAAUAAUUCUAGGCAUUGUAUUUAAAAAAAAAAAUUAAAACCUAAAAUAACUUGUGAUUUUUAAAUUUAAAUACUCAAUAAAUAUAAAUUACUAUGUUGAAAUACCUCUAUAUAUAUUAGCCAGUUUUCUAUAGUUUAGCUACAUAACCAUGUUUCUAUGCUUUCAUUGGUAAGUCUAAAUAGAUUAAACAAUUAAUAAUCUUAUUAGAGACCGCUAAUGUAAGGUCCCAACUCCCAACCUAAAAGUUACUACAUUUGUAAUCACUGAAUUUUCUCUAAAUUAAUUUCGUGUUAAAAGAAGAAGGAUUUUUUUUUAAUUUUUAAUUUUUUUUUUUGCAUUUUGACCCCUAAACCUUCCAUAAUUAGUAUUUUCCAUAAUGUCAUUUUCUCUUCAUUUUCCAUAAUGUCAUUUCCAGUGAGAGAUGUAGAGUGAUGUCUACAAGUACCAGUAGAUAUUACAUGCUUGAAGUUGAUGUUUAAAGUUCAUAAUCGGAUAUUAAAUUAUAAUCAUUCGUAUAAUCAAAAUCGAUAUAAUAAAUCUAAAAAAAAUUAUGAUUACGAAUUAUGAGAUAUUUUUAUAUUUUUUUGGUAUUUUUAUCAUUUUUUAUGUACAUAUUUAAGGUUUAUGAUUUUUUCUCUCAACAAUAUUGUCUCAAAAAUUUAAAUAAUGUGACUUAUCAUUGUAGGCAUUUGAUUGGUCCAAAUCAAAAUCUAACUCUUUCAACCGUGUAAAGAGAGUCAAGGUCUCAUCAUCUAAUUCAAUUAUCUUAAUUAGACGAUCAUUUACAAUUCAAUUCUAAACUAUCAUACAAUCAAAAUAUGAAUGAAAAGAAAUUUUAUAAUUAAUAUAUUAAUUAAAAUUUUAUAUAAUGAGUAUUUAAUUGAAAUCAUAAAAAUUUUAAAAUUUUUUAUGUUAAGAGUUCAUAUCUCAUCAUAAUUUACUAACGUGACACACAUAAGCAGUCACGUGCAUGACACGUCAAUAUUUAAUUAAAUACAUAGUUAAUUUCAAGUCUCUAAAAAUAAAUGAUUGACAAAUAGCAGGAAUUUUCAUUCAUCUCUAUGCUCUAGUUGCUUAAAUCAAGUCAGCUGCUGGACCUGCCAGGAAAAGUCUUUUGUUUGGACCCAAAAUCUGGAAAAAUAUGUGUACCUGCCAGGAAAAGUCUUUGGUUUGGACCCAAAAACUGGAAAAAUAUGUGUAUCUCCAAUGAGAUUGACUUGGCUAUAAUAAUAAUCAUAACCACUCGUUGUUGGAUUGAGGAUGAGCACGAGUCUUGACUCUAAAACUUUAUUUAAUGUGAUAAAAUAUAAAUAAGUAUUAUUCAUACGAAUUUUUCUGCAAGCUCUUGUUCUUGGAAAUUUCCCAUGUCCAGUGAGAGAUGUAGAGUAAUAUCUAUAUAUUUAUGAUCAUUUUCAAAGCUUUUGCAAUAAGUUCUUUACCGCAAUCUUGCUGUCUGAAGAAAAUCAUGUCUAUAGAUAUGGACUGUUCCAUAUUCUGUAGGACGAAACUUUGUUUUAUUAAUGCUUUCUUCUUCUUGUUUAUCAUCUCCUCUUUCACAUGUCCUCAUGUAGUCUUCGGCACAGCAAGUGAAGUUGAUUAUGGUGUUCACUGUAACUCAGUUGUUCAUGAAUCCAAACCAGUUGAUGAGGAGUUCAAUAUCAUGCCUUUCCCUGGACGUCAAAAUGGUUACUUCAGUGGUGGUGAUAAAGUCCUAAACAAUCCUCCUUCACGUUCCUACUCUCCACCGGAAUCGAAAACUUUCCUUUUCGAGACUCACCACGUAUAUACAACCGAUGCCGAUGAUGUCUUUAUGGUGGAAGGAAACCUGAUUUUUCAAACCUCGUUUUACUAUGAACAAAGUAUCUCCUAUGGAAGCUCAUACGUUAUAAGGUCAAGCGACUCAAGCGACCGUGGGACACUGGACUUCGAUUUUCAAGGCUUCUGGUCUCGAACAACCGGGAAGCUUUGCAUGGUGGGAUCGAGUUAUGCUUACUCGAAAGAAGGUAAACUGCUUCAUCUUGCUGCUGUUCUUGAGAUUAAUAAUCUUCAGAGUUCAAGUAAUAUUAGGACUUUAGUCACUGGUACCAUGGAUAGCUUGAGUUCUGCUAAUGAUCCAAAUCACUUUGAGCAAAUAUCACUGCUGAUGUUUCCUCAAGUAAAUUACGCUUACACCAUGAUUUCAAAUCAGUUCAGUGAAGGGUGUCCUCGGGGAACCGAUGUCCAACCGAUGUCGUCCCUCCGCUUAUCGCGCACUCGAACUAUUUGUGAUAUGUUAGGUGGAAGCAAUGCUUUCGAAUUGGAGUAUUCUGGCAGUUGUAAUUUUUCAAAGAGUUGCAAUCCAUUUGGUGAUGGUAUUAGAUAUUUCCCUUCAGUAGUAUCAUUGCGUAUGAUUCAGUGCUCAAACGAUGGGCUAAGCUUGAGGCUUCUGAUAGAAUUUCGGAACGAUAGAUAUCAGGGAUACUAUAGCUCUCCCAAUCUCAACACUUCAUUAAUUGGAGAAGGAUCUUGGGAUGCAAAGAGUAAUCGGCUUUGUAUCAUAGCUUGCCGAAUCUAUGAUGCAUCGAGCUCCUUGGAGAAGUCUCAUGUCGGAGACUGCACGACACGGUUGAGCUUAAGAUUCCCUGCAAUCUUGUCUAUCAGAAACACAAGCACCAUCGUAGGAGAAAUUUGGAGUGUGAAGCUUAGGAAUGAAGGUGGUUUCUUUGAUAGGAUCGAGUUCCGAAAUACUGCACCUUAUGGAGGAAUUCAACUUCAAGGUUUGAAGUAUGUGUACACGGAAAUGGACGAAGUGAAGAAAUCAUGUCCAAAGAAGAAUUCUAGGACUAAAAGCAGUAGGGAACACUAUCCAGAUGGCUAUUCUGGAGACAUGAGUUUUAGUAUGUCGAUCAUCAACGGUUCCAAAGGAAGCAUCGGAUGGGGUUCUUCGAAUAUUCUUGCGGUAGAUGAUCAGCAGUAUCAGAGAUUUCCAUCUCUAUUACCAUCCUCCAGCUCAAAGCCUAAAAUUCCUGGUGUUGAAUCCGAUUCCAGCAGUGGCUUGCUUAAUGUCAGCUAUAAAAUGAGUAUCAUGCUGCGUAGUUCGGAAUUGGAUGGUGGCCUUAAUCCGGUUAACGAAUCUUCAAAUGAAUAUUUGAAAACCGAAAUCCAAAUUUCUGCUGAAGGGGUUUAUGAUACAGCAACAGGUAGCCUAUGCAUGGUUGGCUGCAGACAUUUAAGGUCAGGUGACAAAACAUUUUCAAGCCAUUCGAUGGAUUGCGAGAUCCUGGUGAAAAUCAAUUUUCCUCCAUUGAACUCGGACAGGAGAAGUAAGAUCAGAGGAAGCAUCGAAAGCACACGUGAAGAAAUCGAUCCUCUGUCCUUCAAGCCCCUGCAGUUUUCGGGAAGAGCUUAUUAUCGCAGUUGGGUUACGGAAUCAAUUUGGAGAAUGGAUUUCGAGAUGAUCGUGUCGGUCAUAUCCAACACUCUUACAAUUAUCUUUGUUGCAUUUCAAAUCUUUCAUGUGAGGAAGCACCGUGGCAUUGGUCCUGUGGUUUCACUUCUCAUGCUAGUUAUUCUAGCCCUGGGACACUUCAUCCCUUUGGUUCUAAACCUCGAAGCAAUGUUCAUUCAAAAUAGCGAGAGAUCGGUCUUGAUUAGAGGUGAAACGUGGCUCGAAAUGAACGAGGUGAUCGUUAGAGUCGUCACAAUGGUGGCUUUUCUGCUGCAAGUCCGUCUUCUGAUGCUCUCGUGGACUGCUAGAUGCUCCACUGAAAAGAAAAAGACCUUGUGGAUUGCAGAGAAAAGGGGGCUGUAUGUGUGUGUUCCGGUGUACGGAAUCGGAGCUAUUAUUGCCUUUUCGGUUAAGUCAAGGCAGAAUGUACACCGAACAGUAAGGGCCAGGCAUUCUUGGUACUACAUAGAUGAAAUCAUUUUGGGGAAUUCAAGAGCUUAUGCUGGUUUGAUACUGGAUGCCUUUCUUUUCCCUCAAAUUAUCUUCAACGUGUUCCACAACUCGAGAGAACUGGCUCUUUCUCGACUCUUUUACAUCGGAAUCACCCUUGUUCGCCUCGUACCCCAUGGAUAUGAUCUGUACAGGGCAAACAACUAUGUUGAUAUAGAUGACACAUACAUUUACGCAGAUCAUGGUGCAGAUUACUACUCAACUGCUUGGGACUUCAUUAUUAUUGUGUUGGGUAUAUUCUUUGCUGUGAUCAUACACUACCAACAGCGCCUCGGCGGUCGAUAUUUCCUUUCGAAGAGAUUCCUAGAAUCUGGGACAGAUAAGGAACCUCCAGUGGAUUCAGAAGAACAAUUGCCAUUGAAAUAUAGCACCUAGUCCAUGCCUUGUGUUACUUUUAAGUGUUCACAACUUUUACUGUUUCCAAAUAAUUAUGUAAAUUCAUCCUUUUUCUUUUAUAGCUUAAUAAGCCUAAUGUAAUAUAAAGUUAUAAAUAAAAUUGUUUUAAAAAAUAUUUUAUUUUAAAUUUUUAUUUUAGAUUAAAGUUUGGGUGAGCCUUAAAUGUGAAUAUGUACCCAAAAUGAAUAAAUUUAAAAAGUACACAGUACAAAGAAAAAAAAAAAUUUUGUGUCAGAAUCAAAUAAAAAAAUCCGAAAAAAAGAAAAAAAAAUUGGGUGUUGGCCUGUCAAUGGCCGGCACCCAGUACGCAGUACAAAGAAAAAAAUUUAUUUAUUUUUAUUUUUUUCGUAUUUUUUUAUCUGAUUCUGACACGAAAAAAAAAUAAUUUUUUUUCUUUCUACUGUGUACUGGGUGCCGGCCAUUGACAGGCCAGCACCCAAAAUUUUUUUUUAUUUUUUUUCUUAUUUUUUAUCUGAUUCUGACACAAAAAAAUAAAAUUUUUUUUCUUUGUACUGUGUACUGGGUGCCGGCUAUUGACAGGCCAGCACCCAAAAAUUUUUUUUUAAUUUUUUUCGUAUUUUUUAUCUUAUUCUGACACGAAAAAAAAUAAAAAAAAAUUUUGUACUGUGUACUGGGUGCCGGCCAUUGACAGGCCAGCACCAAAUUUUUUUUUUUGUUUUUUUUCUUUUUUGUAUAUCCGUAUUUCAGUAUUACACAAUUUUUUUAAAAAAAUACCUGGGUUCUGGCCAUUGACAAGCCAGAACCCAAAAAAAUAAUUUUUUUAAGUCUAACAUAAUGAUUAGCCAAUCAUUGGUGCAAAAAAAGAGUGGGUACUGUUCAUUUUAGGUUAUUUUGGUGAUUGUUUUUAAACUUGGGUUAUUUUUGUAAAUAUAAUAUUUUUUGGGUUAUUUGGGUAAAACAGCCUAGUUCUGUCCUGGACGGGUCAUUGGAUCUAAUUCGAAGUCUUAUCCGAAAAUUGAAAGGGUUUGAAUGAAAAUAUAAGCUCAAAAAAUAGACUUGGACAAAAUAAAAAGACUCGUUUAAAAAACGGAUCAGACCUUGGGUAAGCCUUUUUGGCCCAAUCUCGGCCCUAAUUAGCAAAAAGACAAAAAAAAAAGCCUACUAUUUUCUUACUGUUUUGAUACUAUUUUUUUUAUUAUUUUCUUACUUUUUUACUAUCAUUUCAUUAUUAUGUUACUAUUAUUUUGUUAUUAUUAUUUAGAUAUUGUAUAACUCUUAUUUUAAUAUUAAUUUUGUUACUAUUUUAGAGACAUUUGUUUGUUAAGUUACACUUAUCUUAGUAUUAUUUAAGUAUAAAUUUAUUUUUUAAAUUUAUUUUCAAUUUUUUAAGAAUCAUUUAUUUUAAUGUUUUUUAUAUUUUAGAUGUAUUAUAUUUUUAAUUUUUUAUAUAUAAAAAAUAAUAUAAAGAAAUUAAUUUGGGCGGAUCGAACUAGACUCGAGUUUUAGUAUUUUUAUCCAAGUUGGGCUUGAAAAAAAUUUAAGCCCAUUUUUCGGGUCAAAUCGAGCCCAAACAUAGCAAACGGGCCUAAAAUAAUAAUAAUUCAUUAUUGGAUUGAGGUAGAACAUGAGGCUUGACUCUCGGCUUGUUAAAAUAUAUUAUUUGGUACCCAUAUUUGAUUUCAAUGUUUGAUUUGGUAUCUGAGUUUGACUUCAAUGCUUAGUUUGAUACUUGAGUUUUUUCAUAUUAAUGCUUGAGUUUUUCUUUGUCACAUAUAAGUACCUAAAUUUUACUUCAAUGUUUAAUUUGGCACUUGAGUUUUUUCUUUUGUCCCAAUUAAGUACCUAUGAUUAUUUUACUAAGGCACACAUGUAAAAUAUUUUUUGAAGUACACGAUGUUUAGUUUGGGUACCAAAUUAAAUAUUGAAACCAAAUAUAAGCACUAAAUGGUAUAUUAACCCUUAACUUUAUCAUAUAGGGACCUAAAUUUAACAAAAAUAAAAUUAACAGUGUUAACAAUUAGACCUAAAUUCUAAAAUUUUAAAAGUAGAAAGAGUAAGGUCCUGAAAAUAAAAAUAUAGGGACUAAAUUUUAAAUUUAUGAAUCGUACAGGAUCUACAACAUAUUUUAACCCUUUGAAAAAUCAACGAUUAGACCACUUUUAGCAAAUAGCAGGAAAUUGCAUCCAUGUGCUCUAGUUUUUAAGUCAAGUCAGCUGUUGUAGGACCUGCCGACAAUAAUAAUAAUAACCACUCGUUAUUGAUUGAGGUAGAAGACGAGGCAUGACUCUAAACUUCCUUUAAUUUUAAAGUUAAUAUAUUAUUUAGUACCUAUAUUUAAUUUUAAUGUUCAAUUCGAUACCUAAAUUUUUUUCCCAAAUUGGUACCUGAUUUUUUGGGUAUUGAUACUUGAGUUUUCUUUUUCCCAUACCAGUACUCAGGUUUGACUUUAAUGUUUAAUUUAACACCUGAGUUUUUUUUGUCCCAAUUAAGUAUCUAUGUUUUUUUACUAGGCGGACAUGUCAAAUAUUUAUUGAACCACACGAUGUCGUUUAGUUUGAGUAUCGAAUUGAACAUUGAAGCCAAACUUAGGUUUCAAAUUGAAACAAAAAAAAGAUUAGGUACAAAAUUGAAAAUUCAAGCCAAAUGUAAGUACCAAAUGAUAUAUUAACCCUUAAUUUUAUCAUAUAUAUAUAUAUAUGUAAAUAUUAAUCAAAAAAAUUAAACAUUUUGGUGUUGAUUAUAUAAAUAUUCAUAUAAGACAUUCACACCAAAUGGCAUGAUUUCACCCAUAUUUCUGGUAUUGUUUAUACGUUUGAGGGUCAGUCUACAAAAAAAUACAUCAGUUUUCAAAAAUUAUUUAGUUGUUAAAUAUAAGGUUGUCUUUUGCUGUGUUCAUUUUAUAAUGUGAUUUGAUCAAAAACUUCCUUCGGAUUAAAUAUAAAAUAUUGUCAUAAUCCUCUCUUACUUUUCAAAGUCUUGCAAGGUCUUGUUCUUGGAAAUUUCCCAUGUCCAGUGAGAGAUGUAGAGUAUAAUAUCUAUAUAUUUAUGAUCAUUUUCAAAGCUUUUGCAAUAAGUUCUUUAUCACAAUCUUGCUGUCUGAAGAAAUUCAUGUCUAUAGAUAUGGACUGUUCCAUAUUCUGUACGACGAAACUCUGUUUUAUUAAUGCUUUCUUCAUGUUGUUUAUCAUCUCCUCUUUCACAUGUCCUCAUGUAGUCUUCGGCACAGCAAGUGAAGUUGAUUAUGGUGUUCACUGUAACUCAGUUGUUCAUGAAUCCAAACCAGUUGAUGAGGAGUUCAAUAUCAUGCCUUUCCCUGGACGUCAAAAUGGUUACUUCAGUGGUGGUGAUAAAGUCCUAAACAAUCCUCCUUCACGUUCCUACUCUGCACCCAAAUCGAAAACGCUCCUUUUCGAGACUCACCACGUAUUUACAACCGAAGCUGAUGAUGUCUUUAUGGUGGAAGGAAACCUGAUUUUUCAAACCUCGUUUUACUAUGAACGGAGUAUCUCCUCUGGAAGCUCACACUUUAUUAUAAGGUCAAGCGAUUCAAGCGACCGUGGGACACUGGACUUCGAUUUUCGAGGCUUCUGGUCUCGAACAACCGGGAAGCUUUGCAUGGUGGGAUCGAGUUAUGCUUACUCCAAAGAAGGUAAACUGCUUCAUCUUGCUGCUGUUCUUAAGAUUAAUAAUCUUAGGAAGUCAAGUACUAUCAGAACUUUAGUGACUGGUACCCUGGAUAGCUUGAAUUCAAUUGGUGAUCCAAAUCACUUUGAGCAAAUUUCACUGCUGAUGUUUCCCCAACUAAAUUACGCUUACACCAUGGUUUCAAAACAAUUUAGUGAAGGGUGUCCUCGGGGAACCGAUGUCCAACCGAUGUCGUCCCUCCGCUUAUCGCAAACUCGAACUAUUUGUGAUAUGUUAGGUGGAAGCAAUGCUUUCGAAUUGGAGUAUACUGGCAGUUGUAAUUCUUCAAAGAGUUGCAAUCCAUUUGGUGAUGGUAUUGGAUAUUUACCUUCAGUAAUAUCGUUGAGUAUGAUUCAGUGCUCAAACGAUAGGCAAAGCUUGAGGUUUCUGAUAGAAUUCCGGAACGACAGCUAUCAGGGAUACUAUAGCUCUCCCAAUCUCAACACUUCAUUAAUUGGAGAAGGAUCUUGGGAUGCAAAGAGUAAUCGGCUUUGUAUCAUUGCUUGCCGAAUCUAUGAUGCAUCGAGCUCCUUGGAGAAGUCUCAUGUCGGAGACUGCACGACACGGUUGAGCUUAAGAUUCCCUGCAAUCUUGUCUAUCAGAAACCCAAGCACCAUUGUAGGAGAAAUUUGGAGUGAGAAGCCUAGGAAUGAAGGUGGUUUCUUUGACAGGGUCGAGUUCCGAAAUACUGGACGUUAUGGAGGAGGAAUUCAACUUCAAGGUUUGAAGUAUGUGUACACGGAAAUGGACGAAGUGAAGAAAUCAUGUCCAAAGAAGAAUUCUAGGACUAAUAGCAGUAUGGAACACUAUCCAGAUGGCUAUUCUGGAGACAUGAGUUUUAGUAUGUCCAUCAUCAACGGUUCCAAAGGAAGCAUCGGAUGGGGUUCUUCGGAUAUUCUUGCGGUAGAUGAUCAGCAGUAUCAGAGAUUUCCAUCUCUAUUACCAUCCUCAAGCUCAAAGCCUAAAAGUUCUGGCGUUGAAUCCGAUUCCAGCAGUGGCUUGCUUAAUGUCAGCUAUAAAAUUAGCAUCCCGCCACUUAGUUUGGAAUUGGAUGGUGGCCUCAAACCGGUUAACCAAUCUUCAUAUGAAUAUCUGCAAACCAAAAUCCAAAUUUCUGCUGAAGGGGUUUAUGAUACAACAACAGGUAGCCUAUGCAUGGUUGGCUGCAGGCGUUCAAGGUUAGACGGCAAAUCAUUUUCAAGCCAUUCGAUAGAUUGCGAUAUCCUUGUGCAAGUCAACUUUCUUCCAUUGAACUCGCGCAAGAUAAAUAACAUCAAGGGAAGCAUCGAGAGCACGCGUGAAAAUACCGAUAGUCUGUACUUCAAGCCUCUGCAGAUUUUGGGAACAACUAAUUCUCGCAGUUGGGGAGCGGAAUCGAUUUGGAGAAUGGAUUUCGAGAUGAUCGUGUCGGUCGUAUCCAACACUCUUGCAAUUAUCUUUGUUGCAUUUCAAAUCUUUCAUGUGAGGAAGCACCGUGGCAUUGGUCCUAUGGUUUCACUUCUCAUGCUUGUUAUUCUAGCCCUGGGACACUUGAUCCCUUUGGUUCUAAACCUCGAAGCAACGUUCAUUCAGGAUAGCGAGCGAUCGAUCUUGAUUAGAGGUGGAAGGUGGCUCGAAAUGAAUGAGGUGAUCAUUAGAGUCGUCACAAUGGUGGCUUUUCUGCUGCAAGUCCGUCUUCUGAUGCUCUCAUGGACUGCUAGAUGCUCCACUGAAAAGAAAAAGACCUUGUGGAUUGCAGAAAAAAGGGGGCUGUAUGUGUGUGUUCCGGUGUACGUAAUCGGAGCUAUUAUCGCCUUUUCGGUUAAGUCAAGGCAGAAUGUACACGGAACAGUAAUGGCCAGGCAUUCUUGGUACGACAUAGAUGAAAUCAUUUUGGGGAAUUCAAGAGCUUAUGCUGGUUUGAUACUGGAUGCCUUUCUUUUCCCUCAAAUCAUCUUCAACAUGUUCCACAGCUCGAGAGAACUGGCUCUUUCUCGACUCUUUUACAUCGGAAUCACCCUUGUUCGCCUCGUACCCCAUGGAUAUGAUCUGUACAGGGCAAACAGCUAUGUUGAUAUAGAUGACACAUACAUUUAUGCAGAUCAUGGUGCAGAUUACUACUCAACUGCUUGGGACUUCAUUAUUAUUGUGUUGGGUAUAUUCUUUGCUGUGAUCAUACACUACCAACAGCGCCUCGGCGGUCGAUAUUUCCUUUCGAAGAGAUUCCUAGAAUCUGUGAUAGAUGAGGAACCUCCAGUGGAUUCAGAAGAACAAUUGCCAUUGAAAUAUAGCACCUAGUCCAUGCCUUGUGUUACUUCUAAGUGUUCACAACUUUUACUGUUUCCAAAUAAUUCUGUAAAUUGAUCCUUUUUCUUUUAUAGCUUAAUAAGCCUAAUGUAAUAUAAAGUUAUAAAUAAAAUUGUUUUAAAAAAUAUUUUAUUUUAGAUUAAAGUUUGGGUGAGCCUUAAAUGUGAAUAUGUACCCAAAACGAAUAAAUUUAAAAAUUAUACUUUUUUUUAUAUUUAAAUAUAAAUCCAACAUAAAUUCUUACAAAAAUUAAAAGUAAAUUUAUUGGCAUGUAGCAUAACAUUUCCUUGUAAUUUUGGUGUUUUCAGCUUUCCAUUUACCAACUUUUGACUUAGUUUACUCCUCUCUAGUGUUUGAUAAAAGCUAUUAAAAAACCUAUAAUUUAUAACCAUAGUUAAAUAUCCAAUGUAUUAAUGAUAUGUUUGGUAGGAAUAUGAAUUAGUAAUAAAUUAAUUUCAGUCGAUAAUUUAAAUAUUUAUAUGAUCGACUUGUUUGAUAUGUUUAAUAUAAACGAGGACUGUUAUGUUAAAUACUAGAUAUGAACUUUGGGGGUUAGCUGCCCCUAAAAUUUAUAAAAUUUCUUUUAAGGUCCUUUGAAUUUUCAAUUUUUUUAAUUGGAUAUUAUAAUGUAGUGUCUAAAAAGGAGGACAAAUUUGUGUUUGACUUCUUAAACUUUUUUCAAUUUUUUUAUUUGAUUUCUUUUAUAGAAUUUAUAAAUUUUUUAAUUAUAAAUUUAAUAAAUUAAUGCAAAGUAAUAUAUAAAUAUUAAUUUGUUAAUAAAGUAAUAAUUGCAACAUCUAAGUAUAAUUAUUAUCUAAAAUUAAUUAGAUGAAAAAUAAACUUAAAUAAUUAUAAUAUUUAAUAAAAAUUGAGCAUUUAGCUCUUUUUUUCUUCUAAAUUUUGGUGACUAAGAUUAUCCCGAAUGUAAAAAUCUGUUGUUGAAAGCAGGUCUUUUCCACUUUGAUCAUGUAUAUUAUAUAUAAAUAUCUCGCCCCCUUAUCAACAAUUUUAGCUUCGACCUUGUAAAUAACACUCAAAUUUCAAAAAGGCAAUGAAAGAUAGAUAUUACGAUAUCAAAGUGUUUGGUUGUUGAGAAUUGUGAUAUUUGUUACUAUUGUUAUAAUUUAUUUCGUAUGAAGUUUACAUCAGUGUUAAUUAUGAUUAUCAUCCGAAUCUGUAUCAUUAAGAUCAUCAAGAUUUUUUUUUUGGUGUACUUUUCAAAGUAUGAAUCAUUCCAAAUUCAUCUAUGAAUGAAGCUGCGAAUUAUGCAACAUGUUUGUACAAUCCAAUGAAAUAUGAAUCAUCACUUUUAUAAUAUACAAAUUAUUUUUAUGAUAAUUUUUUAUCAUAACUUAAAAAAAAUAAGUUUAAAUAAUAUAAAUUUUUAUUAUAAUUUUAUAAAAUAAAUAUAAAUUAUUUUCAGAACAUAAUUUAUUAUAAUGAUUAUGAUUUUAACCAUUACUUUUCACAACACAUUAUUCUAAACAUUAAAGGUAUGAUUUUAACCAUUACUUUCUACUACUUUCAAUUAUACAAAAAGAUUUAAGUUUAGAUCCCACACUUGACUCGAAGAUAUAAAAACCUUAAUUGGAUGAAGAGAUUGACGAUCUAGUUCGGAGGAGAGGGAUGAUUUUUAAAACUUUUUGAAUUCCUUUGCUUGAAGAUUAAUUUGGUAAUGGUGGAGGAAUAAUUUGCUUGAUGAAAAUUAUAGGGUUUGAAAAUAUUUUCUAUUUCAAAAUUUUAAAAUCUAAAAGGUAAAGGUUAAAUUAUUAGAAAUAAAAGUAUAAAAAUUAAAUUUAAAAUUUUUCAAUAGUUCAGGGACCGAUGACAUAACUUAACCCUUCUAUGAUUGGACCUUUUUAGCAAACAGCACGAAUUUUCAUCCAUCUCUUUGGUCUAGCUUUUAAGUCAAGUCAACUGUUGUAGGACCUGCCAAUAAAAUCCUUUUGUUUCGACCCAAAACCUACAAAAAAAUGACUAAACUGAGUCACAUUGACUUUGCUAUUUUUCAUAAUAAUAAUAGUAAUAACAAUAAUUCAUUAACCUAAAAAUAAUAAUAACUCAAUGGUAGUUUUGUCUUCGACGGGUCAUUGGAUCUGAUUCUAAGUCCUAUCCGAAAAUUAAAAAGGGUUUGGAUAAAAAUAUAGGCUCAAAAAAUAGACUUGGACAAAAAAAAACUCGUUUAAAAAACGGGUCAGACCUUGGGUAAGGCUUUUUGGCCCAAUCUCGGCCCUAAUUAGCAAAAAGACAAAAAAAAACUACUAUUUUCUUGUUGUUUUGAUACUAUUUUCUUAUUAUUUUCUUACUUUUUUACUAUCAUUUCACUCUUAUGUUACUACUAUUUUGUUGUUAUUAUUCGGAUAUUGUAUAACUCUUAUUUUAUUAUUAAUUUUGUUACUAUUUUAGAGACAUUUGUUUGUUAAGUUACACCUAUCUUAGUAUUAUUUAAGUAUAAAUUUAUUUUUUAAAUUUAUUUUCAAUUUUUUGAGAAUCAUUUAUUUUAAUGUUUUUUUAUAUUUUAGAUGUAUUAUAUUUUUAAUUUUUUAUAUAUAAAAAAUAAUAUAAAGAAAUUAAUUUGGGCGGAUCGAACUAGACUCGAGUUUUAGCAUUUUUAUCCAAGUUGGGCUUGAAAAAAAUUUAGGCCCAUUUUUCGGGUCAAAUCGAGCCCAAACAUAGCAAACGGGCCUAAAAUAAUAAUAAUUCAUUAUUGGAUUGAGGUAGAACAUGAGGCUUGACUCUCGGCUUGUUAAUAUAUUAUUUGGUACCCAUAUUUGAUUUCAAUGUUUGAUUUGGUAUCUGAGUUUGACUUCAAUGCUUAGUUUGAUACUUGAGUUUUUUCAUAUUAAUGCUUGAGUUUUUCUUUGUCACAUAUAAGUACCUAAAUUUUACUUCAAUGUUUAAUUUGGCACUUGAGUUUUUUCUUUUGUCCCAAUUAAGUACCUAUGAUUCUUUUACUAAGGCACACAUGUAAAAUAUUUUUUGAAGUACACGAUGUUUAGUUUGGGUGCCAAAUUAAAUAUUGAAACCAAAUAUAAGCACUAAAUGGUAUAUUAACCCUUAACUUUAUCAUAUAGGGACCUAAAUUUAACAAAAAGAAAAUUAACAGUGUUAACAAUUAGACCUAAAUUCCAAAAUUUAAAAAGUAGAAAGAGUAAGUUCCUGAAAAUAAAAAUAUAGGGACUAAAUUUUAAAUUUAUGAAUCGUACAGGAUCUACAACAUAUUUUAACCCUUUGAAAAAUCAACGAUUAGACCACUUUUAGCAAAUAGCAGGAAAUUGCAUCCAUGUGCUCUAGUUUUUAAGUCAAGUCAGCUGUUGUAGGACCUGCCGACAAUAAUAAUAAUAACCACUCGUUAUUGAUUGAGGUAGAAGACGAGGCAUGACUCUAAACUUCCUUUAAUUUUAAAGUUAAUAUAUUAUUUAGUACCUAUAUUAAAAUCCUAUAUUUAAUUUUAAUAUUCAAUUCGAUACUUAAAUUUUUUUCCUAAAUUGGUACCUGAUUUUUUGGUAUUGAUACUUGAGUUUUCUUUUUCCCAUACCAGUACUCAGGUUUGACUUUAAUGUUUAAUUUAACACCUGAAUUUUUUUUGUCCCAAUUAAGUAUCUAUGUUUUUUUACUAGGCGGACAUGUCAAAUAUUUAUUGAACCACACGAUGUCGUUUAGUUUGGGUAUCGAAUUGAACAUUGAAGCCAAACUUAGGUUUCAAAUUGAAACAAAAAAAGAUUAGGUACAAAAUUGAAAAUUCAAGCCAAAUGUAAGUACCAAAUGAUAUAUUAACCCUUAAUUUUAUCAUAUAUAUAUAUAUAUGUAAAUAUUAAUCAAAAAAAUUAAACAUUUUGGUGUUGAUUAUAUAAAUAUUCAUAUAAGACAUUCACACCAAAUGGCAUGAUUUCACCCAUAUUUCUGGUAUUGUUUAUACGUUUGAGGGUCAGUCUACAAAAAAAUACAUCAGUUUUCAAAAAUUAUUUAGUUGUUAAAUAUAAGGUUGUCUUUUGCUGUGUUCAUUUUAUAAUGUGAUUUGAUCAAAAACUUCCUUCGGAUUAAAUAUAAAAUAUUGUCAUAAUCCUCUCUUACUUUUCAAAGUCUUGCGAGGUCUUGUUCUUGGAAAUUUCCCAUGUCCAGUGAGAGAUGUAGAGUGAUAUCUAUAUAUUUACGAUCAUUUUCAAAGCUUUUGCAAUAAGUUCUUUAUCACAAUCUUGCUGUCCGAAGAAAUUCAUGUCUAUAGAUAUGGACUGUUCCAUAUUCUGUAGGACGAAACUUUGUUUUAAUGCUUUCUUCUUCUUGUUUAUCAUCUCCUCUUUCACAUGUCUUCAUGUAGUCUUCGGCACAGCAAGUGAAUUUGAUUAUGGCGUUCACUGUAACUCAGUUGUUCAUGAAUCCAAACCAGUUGAUGAGGAGUUCAAUAUCAUGCCUUUCCCUGGACGUCAAUAUGGUUACUUCAGUGGUGGUGAUAAAGUCCUAAACAAUCCUCCUUCACGUUCCUACUAUGCACCCAAAUCGAAAACUCUCCUUUUCGAGACUCACCACGUAUUUACAACCGAUGCUGAUGAUGUCUUUAUGGUGGAAGGAAACCUGAUUUUUCAAACCUCGUUUUACUAUGAACAGAGUAUCUCCUCUGGAAGCUCAUAUUUUCGUGGGACACUGGACUUCGAUUUUCGAGGCUUCUGGUCUCGAACAACCGGGAAGCUUUGCAUGGUGGGAUCGAGUUAUGCUUACUCCAAAGAAGGUAAACUGCUUCAUCUUGCUGCUGUUCUUAAGAUUAAUAAUCUUCAGAGUUCAAGUAAUAUUAGUACUUUAGUCACCGGUACCAUGGAUAGCUUGAGUUCUGCUAAUGAUCCAAAUCACUUUGAGCAAAUAUCACUGCUGAUGUUUCCUCAAGUAAAUUACGCUUACACCAUGAUUUCAAAUCAGUUUAGUAAAGGGUGUCCUCGGGGAACCGAUGUCCAACCGAUGUCAUCCCUCCGCUUAUCGCAAACUCGAACUAUUUGUGAUAUGUUAGGUGGAAGCAAUGCUUUCGAAUUGGAGUAUACUGGCAGUUGUAAUUCUUCAAAGAGUUGCAAUCCAUUUGGUGAUGGUAUUGGAUAUUUACCUUCAGUAAUAUCGUUGAGUAUGAUUCAGUGCUCAAACGAUAGGCAAAGCUUGAGGUUUCUGAUAGAAUUCCGGAACGACAGCUAUCAGGGAUACUAUAGCUCUCCCAAUCUCAACACUUCAUUAAUUGGAGAAGGAUCUUGGGAUGCAAAGAGUAAUCGGCUUUGUAUCAUUGCUUGCCGAAUCUAUGAUGCAUCGAGCUCCUUGGAGAAGUCUCAUGUCGGAGACUGCACGACACGGUUGAGCUUAAGAUUCCCUGCAAUCUUGUCUAUCAGAAACCCAAGCACCAUUGUAGGAGAAAUUUGGAGUGAGAAGCCUAGGAAUGAAGGUGGUUUCUUUGACAGGGUCGAGUUCCGAAAUACUGGACGUUAUGGAGGAGGAAUUCAACUUCAAGGUUUGAAGUAUGUGUACACGGAAAUGGACGAAGUGAAGAAAUCAUGUCCAAAGAAGAAUUCUAGGACUAAUAGCAGUAUGGAACACUAUCCAGAUGGCUAUUCUGGAGACAUGAGUUUUAGUAUGUCCAUCAUUAACGGUUCCAAAGGAAGCAUCGGAUGGGGUUCUUCGGAUAUUCUUGCGGUAGAUGAUCAGCAGUAUCAGAGAUUUCCAUCUCUAUUACCAUCCUCAAGCUCAAAGCCUAAAAGUUCUGGCGUUGAAUCCGAUUCCAGCAGUGGCUUGCUUAAUGUCAGCUAUAAAAUUAGCAUCCCGCCACUUAGUUUGGAAUUGGAUGGUGGCCUCAAACCGGUUAACCAAUCUUCAUAUGAAUAUCUGCAAACCAAAAUCCAAAUUUCUGCUGAAGGGGUUUAUGAUACAACAACAGGUAGCCUAUGCAUGGUUGGCUGCAGGCGUUCAAGGUUAGACGGCAAAUCAUUUUCAAGCCAUUCGAUAGAUUGCGAUAUCCUUGUGCAAGUCAACUUUCUUCCAUUGAACUCGCGCAAGACAAAUAACAUUAAGGGAAGCAUCGAGAGCACGCGUGAAAAAACCGAUAGUCUGUAUUUCAAGCCUCUGCAGAUUUUGGGAACAACUUAUUCUCGCAGUUGGGGAGCGGAAUCGGUUUGGAGAAUGGAUUUCGAGAUGAUCGGGUCGGUCGUAUCCAACACUCUUGCAAUUAUCUUUGUUGCAUUUCAAAUCUUUCAUGUGAGGAAGCACCGUGGCAUUGGUCCUAUGGUUUCACUUCUCAUGCUUGUUAUUCUAGCCCUGGGACACUUGAUCCCUUUGGUUCUAAACCUCGAAGCAAUGUUCAUUCAAGAUAGCGAGAGAUCGGUCUUGAUUAGAGGUGGAAAGUGGCUCGAAAUGAACGAGGUGAUAAUUAGAGUCGUCACAAUGGUGGCUUUUCUGCUGCAAGUCCGUCUUCUGAUGCUCUCAUGGACUGCUAGAUGCUCCACUGAGAAGAAAAAGACCUUGUGGAUUGCAGAGAAAAGGGGGCUGUAUGUGUGUGCUCCGGUGUACGUAAUCGGAGCUAUUAUCGCCUUUUCGGUUAAGUCAAGGCAGAAUGUACACAGAACAGUAAUGGCCAGGCAUUCUUGGUACGACAUAGAUGAAAUCAUUUUGGGGAAUUCAAGAGCUUAUGCUGGUUUGAUACUGGAUGCCUUUCUUUUCCCUCAAAUCAUCUUCAACAUGUUCCACAACUCGAGAGAACUGGCUCUUUCUCGACUCUUUUACAUCGGAAUCACCCUUGUUCGCCUCGUACCCCAUGGAUAUGAUCUUUACAGGGCAAACAGCUAUGUUGAUAUAGAUGACACAUACAUUUAUGCAGAUCAUGGUGCAGAUUACUACUCAACUGCUUGGGACUUCAUUAUUAUUGUGUUGGGUAUAUUCUUUGCUGUGAUCAUACACUACCAACAGCGCCUCGGCGGUCGAUAUUUCCUUUCGAAGAGAUUCCUAGAAUCUGUGAUAGAUGAGGAACCUCCAGUGGAUUCAGAAGAACAAUUGCCAUUGAAAUAUAGCACCUAGUCCAUGCCUUGUGUUACUUCUAAGUGUUCACAACUUUUACUGUUUCCAAAUAAUUCUGUAAAUUGAUCCUUUUUCUUUUAUAGCUUAAUAAGCCUAAUGUAAUAUAAAGUUAUAAAUAAAAUUGUUUUAAAAAAUAUUUUAUUUUAAAUUUUUAUUUUAGAUUAAAGUUUGGGUGAGCCUUAAAUGCGAAUAUGUACCCAAAAUGAAUAAAUUUAAAAAUUAUACUCUUUUUUUUAUAUUUAAAUAUAAAUCCAACAUAAAUUCUUACAAAAUUAAAAGUAAAUGUUUAUAUAAAUCUUUAUACAAAUUUAUUGGCAUGUAGCAUAACAUUUCCUUGUAAUUUUGGUGUUUUCAGCUUUCCAUUUACCAACUUUUGACUUAGUUUACUCCUCUCUGGUGUUUGAUAAAAGCUAUUAAAACCUAUAAUUUAUAACCAUACUUAAAUAUCCAAUGCAUUAAUGAUAUGUUUGGUAUGAAUAUGAAUUAGUGAUAAAUUAAUUUCAAUCGAUAAUUUAAAUAUUUAUAUGAUCGACUUGUUUGAUAUGUUUAAUAUAAACGAGUACUGUUAUGUUAAAUACUAGAUAUGAACUUUGGGGGUUAGCUGCCCCUAAAAUUUAUAAAAUUUCUUUUAAGGUCCUUUGAAUUUUCAAUUUUUUUUAAUUUGAUAUUAUAAUGUAGUGUCUAAAAUAAGGACAAAUUUGUGUUUGACUUCUUAAACUUUUUUCAAAAUUUUUUUAUUUGAUUUCUUUUAUAGAAUUUAUAAAUUUUUAAUUAUAAAUUUAAUAAAUUAAUACAAAAUAAUAUAUAAAUAUUAAUUUGGUAAUAAAGUAAUAAUUGCAACAUCUAAGUAUAAAUAUUAUCUAAAAUUAAUUAGAUGAAAAAUAAACUUAAAUAAUUAUAAUAUUUAAUAAAAAUUGAGCAUUUAACUCUUUUUUUUCUUCUAAAUUUUGGUGACUAAGAUUAUCCCGAAUGUAAAAAUCCGUUGUUGAAAGUAGGUCUUUUCCACUUUGAUCAUGUAUAUUAUAUAUAAAUAUCUUGCCCCCUUAUCAACAAUUUUAGCUUCGACCUUGUAAAUAACACUCAAAUUUCAAAAAGGCAAUGAAAGAUAAAUAUUGCUAUAUCAAAGUGUUUGAGAGUUGUGAUAUUUGUUGCUAUUGUUAUAAUGUAUUUCGUAUGAAGUUUACAUCAGUGUUAAUUAUGAUCAUCAUCCGAAUCUAUAUCAUUAAGAUCAUCGAGAUUUUUUUUUGUGUACUUUUCAAAGUAUGAAUCAUUUCAAAUUCAUCUAUGAAUGAAGUUACGAAUUAUGCAACAUAUUUGUACAAUCCAAUGAAAUAUGAAUCAUCACUUUUACGACAUACAAAUUAUUUUUAUAAUAAUUUUUUUAUCAUAACUUAAAAAAAAUAAGAUUUAAAUAAUAUAAAUUUUUUAUUAUAACUUUAUAAAAUAAAUAUAAAUUAUUUUUAUAACAUAAUUUAUUAUAAUGAUUAUGAUUUUAACCAUUGCUUUCUACUACUUUCAAUUAUAAAAAAAUAUUUAAGUUUAGAUCCCACACCUGAUUCGAAGACAUAAAAACCUUAAUUGGAUGAAGAGAUUGACGAUCUACUCGGGAGGAGAGGAAUGAUUUUUAUAACUUUUUGAAUUCCUUUGCUUGAAGAUUGAUUUGGUAAUGGUGGAGGAAAUACUUUGCAUGGUUUGAAAAUAUUUCCUAUUUCAAAAUUUUGAAAUCUAAAAGGUAAAGGUUAAAUUAUUGGAAAUAAAAGUAUAAGAACUAAAUUUAAAAUUUUUCAAUAGUGCAGGGACCGAUGACAUAACUUAACCCUUCAAUGAUUGGACCAUUUUAGCAAAUAGCACGAAUUUUCAUCCAUCUAGUCUAGCUUUUAAGUCAAGUCAACAGUUGUAGGACCUGCCAAUAAAAUCCCUUUGUUUCGACCCAAAACCUACAAAAAAAUGACUAAACUGAUUCACAUCGACUUUGCUAUUUUUCGUAAUAAUAAUAAUAAUAAUAAUAAUAAUAAUAACAAUAAUAGUUCGUUAACCCAAAAAUAAUAAUAAAUCUGUCAUGGCCGGGUCAUUCAACCAGAUCUGAAAUUCCGUCCGAAAAUUGAGAGAGUUUAGAUAAAAAUAUAAGUUUCAAAAACUAGACUUGGGUAAAAAAAAAAGAAUCGUUUAAAAAUCGGGUCAGACCUUGGGUAAGCCUUUUAGGCCCAAUCUCGACCCUAAUUAGCAAAAAGACAAAAAAAGAAGAAGCUAUUUUCUUGCUGUUUUGCUACUAUUUUCUUAUUAUUUUCUUACUUUUUUACUAUCAUUUCACUAUUAUGUUACUACUAUUUUGUUGUUAUUAUUUGGAUAUUAUAUAACUCUUAUUUUAUUAUUAAUUUUGUUACUAUUUUAGAGGCAUUUGCUUAUUAAGUUACACCUAUUUUAAUAUUAUUUAAGUAUAAAUAUAAUAAUAAUUCAUUAUUAGUAUUAUUUAAGUAUAAAUCGAGCCCAAACAUAGCAAACGGGUCUAAAAUAAUUAUAAUUCAUUAUUGGAUUGAGGUAGAACACGAGGCUUGACUCUCAACUUGUUAAAAUAUAUUUUUUGGUACCCAUAUUUGAUUUCAAUUUUAAAUUUAGUAUCUAAGUUUGACUUCAAUGUUUAGUUUGAAACUUGAGUUUUUUCAUAUUAAUGCUUGAGUUUUUUUUUGUCACAUAUAAGUACCUAAGUUUUACUUUAAUGUUUAAUUUGGCACUUGAGUUUUUUUCUUUUGUCCCAAUUAAGUACCGAUGAUUCUUUUACUAAGGCACUCAUGUAAAAUAUUUAUUGAAGUACAUGAUGUUGUUUAGUUUAGGUACCAAAUUAAACAUUGAAACCAAAUAUAAGCACUAAAUGAUAUAUUAACCCUUAACUUUAUCAUAUAGGGACCUAAAUUUAACAAAAAAAAUUAACUGUGUUAGCAAUUAGACCUCAAUUCUAAAAUUUGAAAAGUGGAAAAAGUAAGUUCCUGAAAAUAAAAAUAUAGGACUAAAUUUUAAAUUUAUGAAUAGUACAGGACCUACAACAUAUUUUAACCCUUUGAAAAAUCAACGAUUGGACCACUUUUAGCAAAUAGCAGGAAAUUGCAUCCAUGUGGUCUAGUUUUUAAGUCAAGUCAGCUGUUGUAGGACCUGCCGACAAUAAUAAUAAUAACCACUCGUUAUUGGAUUGAGGUAGAAGACGAGGCAUGACUCUAAACUUCCUUUAAUUUUAAAGUUAAUAUAUUAUUUAGUACCUAUAUUUAAUUUUAACGUUCAAUUCGAUAUUUAAAUUUUUUUUCUUAAAUUGGUACCUGAUUUUUUUUUUGUAUUGAUACUUGAGUUUUCUUUGCCCCAUACUAGUAUUUAGGUUUGACUUCAAUAUUCAAUUUAACACGUAAGUUUUUCUUUUGUCCCAACUAAAUACCUAUGUUUUUUUUACUAGGGCGAACAUGUCAAAUAUUUAUUGAACCAUAUGAUGUCGUUUAGUUUGGGUACCGAAUUGAACAUUAAAGCCAAACUUAGGUUCCAAAUUAAAAAAAAAGAUUAGGUACCAAAUUGAAAAUUCAAGCCAAAUGUAAGUACCAAAUGAUAUAUUAACCCUUAAUUUUGUCAUAUAUAUAUAUAUAUAUAUUAUGGAGUCUACAAAAAAAUACAUCAGUUUUCAAAAAUUAUUUAGUGGUUAAAUAUAAGGUUGUCUUUUGUUGUGUUCAUUUUAUAAUGUUAUUUGAUCAAAAACUUCCUUCGGAUUAAAUGUAAAAUAUUGGCAUAAUCCUCUCUUACUUUUCAAAGUCUUGCAAGGCCUUGUUCUUGGAAAUUUCCCAUGUCCAGUGAGAGAUGUAGAGUGAUAUCUAUAUAUUUACGAUCAUUUUCAAAGCUUUUGCAAUAAGUUCUUUAUCACAAUCUUGCUGUCCGAAGAAAUUCCUGUCUAUAGAUAUGGACUGUUCCAUAUUCUGUAGGACGAAACUUUGUUUUAAUGCUUUCUUCUUCUUGUUUAUCAUCUCCUCUUUCACAUGUCUUCAUGUAGUCUUCGGCACAGCAAGUGAAUUUGAUUAUGGCGUUCACUGUAACUCAGUUGUUCAUGAAUCCAAACCAGUUGAUGAGGAGUUCAAUAUCAUGCCUUUCCCUGGACGUCAAAAUGGUUACUUCAGUGGUGGUGAUAAAGUCCUAAACAAUCCUCCUUCACGUUCCUACUCUCCACCGGAAUCUAAAACGUUCCUUUUCGAAACUCACCACGUAUAUACAACCGAUGCUGAUGAUGUCUUUAUGGUGGAAGGAAACCUGAUUUUUCAAACCUCGUUUUACUAUGAACAGAGUAUCUCCUCUGGAAGCUCAUACGUUAUAAGUUCAAGCGAUUCAAGCGACCGUGGGACACUGGACUUUGAUUUUCGAGGCUUCUGGUCUCGAACAACCGGGAAGCUUUGCAUGGUGGGAUCGAGUUAUGCUUACUCCAAAGAAGGUAAACUGCUUCAUCUUGCUGCUGUUCUUAAGAUUAAUAAUCUUAGGAAGUCAAGUACAAUCAGAACUUUAGUGACUGGUACCCUGGAUAGCUUGAAUUCAAUUGGUGAUCCAAAUCACUUUGAGCAAAUUUCACUGCUGAUGUUUCCUCAAGCAAAUUACGCUUACACCAUGGUUUCAAAACAGUUUAGUGAAGGGUGUCCUCGGGGAGCCGAUGUCCAACCGAUGUCGUCCCUCCGCUUAUCGCAAACUCGAACUAUUUGUGAUAUGUUAGGUGGAAGCAAUGCUUUCGAAUUGGAGUAUACUGGCAGUUGUAAUUCUUCAAAGAGUUGCAAUCCAUUUGGUGAUGGUAUUGGAUAUUUACCUUCAGUAAUAUCGUUGAGUAUGAUUCAGUGCUCAAACGAUAGGCUAAGCUUGAGGUUUCUGAUAGAAUUUCGGAACGAUAGCUAUCAGGGAUACUAUAGCUCUCCCAAUCUCAACACUUCAUUAAUUGGAGAAGGAUCUUGGGAUGCAAAGAGUAAUCGGCUUUGUAUCAUUGCUUGCCGAAUCUAUGAUGCAUCGAGCUCCUUGGAGAAGUCUCAUGUUGGAGACUGCACGACACGGUUGAGCUUAAGAUUCCCAGCAAUCUUGUCUAUCAGAAACACAAGCACCAUUGUAGGAGAAAUUUGGAGUGAGAAGCCUAGGAAUGAAGGUGGUUUCUUUGACAGGGUCGAGUUCCGAAAUACUGGACGUUAUGGAGGAGGAAUUCAACUUCAAGGUUUGAAGUAUGUAUACACGGAAAUGGACGAAGUGGAGAAAUCAUGUCCAAAGAAGAAUCCUAAGACUAAAAGCAUUAAGGGACACUAUCCAGAUGGCUAUUCUGGUAAUCUGGGUUUUAGUAUGUCGAUCAUCAAAGGUUCCAAAGGAAGAAUCGGAUGGGGUUCUUCGGAUCCUCUUGCGGUAGGUGAUCAGCAAGAUCAGAGAUUUCCGUCUCUAAUACCAUCCUCAAGCUCAAAGCCUAAAAGUUCUGGCGUUGAAUCCAAUUCCAGCAGUGGCUUGCUUAAUAUCAGCUAUAAAAUGAGUAUCAUGUUGCGUAGUUCGGAAUUGGAUGGUGGCCUUAAUCUGGUUAACGAAUCUUCAAAUGAAUAUUUGGAAACCGAAAUCCAAAUUUCUGCUGAAGGGGUUUAUGAUACAGCAACAGGUAGCCUAUGCAUGGUUGGCUGCAAACAUUUAAGGUCAGGUGACAAAACAUUUUCAAGCCAUUCGAUGGAUUGCGAGAUCCUGGUGAAAAUCAAUUUUCCUCCAUUGAACUCGGACAGGAGAAGUAAGAUCAAAGGAAGCAUUGAAAGCACACGUGAAGAAAUUGAUCCUCUGUCCUUCAAGCCCCUGCAGUUUUCGGGAAGAGCUUAUUAUCGCAGUUGGGUUGCGGAAUCAAUUUGGAGAAUGGAUUUCGAGAUGAUCAUGUUGGUAAUAUCCAAUACUCUUGCAAUUAUCUUUGUUGCAUUUCAAAUCUUUCAUGUCAGGAAGCACCGUGGCAUUGGUCCUCUGGUUUCACUUCUAAUGCUUGUUAUUCUAGCCCUGGGACACUUGAUCCCUUUGGUUCUAAACUUCGAAGCAAUGUUCAUUCAAGAUAGCGAGAGAUCGGUCUUGAUUAGAGGUGGAACGUGGCUCGAAAUGAACGAGGUUAUCAUUAGAGUCGUCACAAUGGUGGCUUUUCUGCUGCAAGUCCGUCUUCUGAUGCUCUCAUGGACUGCUAGAUGCUCCACUGAAAAGAAAAAGACCUUUUGGAUUGCAGAAAAAAGGGGGAUCUAUGUGUGUGUUCCAGUGUACGUAAUCGGAGCUAUUAUCGCCUUUUUGGUUAAGUCAAGGCAGAAUGUACAUCUAACUUGGUACUACAUAGAUGAAAUCAUUUUGGGGAGUUCAAGAGCUUAUGCUGGUUUGGUACUGGAUGCCUUUCUUUUUCCACAAAUAAUCUUCAAUAUGUUCCAGAACUUGAGAGAACCAGCACUUUCUCAUUUCUUUUACAUCGGAAUCACCCUUGUUCGCCUCGUACCCCAUGGAUAUGAUCUGUACAGAGCAAACAGCUAUGCUGAUAUAGAUGACUCGUACAUCUACGGAGAUCAUGGUGCAGAUUACUACUCAACUGCUUGGGACUUCAUUAUUAUUGUGUUGGGUAUAUUCUUUGCUGUGAUCAUACACUACCAACAGCGCCUCGGUGGUCGAUAUUUCCUUCCGAAGAGGUUCCAAGAAUCUGUGAUAGAUGAGGAAUUUCCGGUAGAUUCAGAAGAACAAUUGCCAUUGAGAUAUAGCACCUAGUGCAUGCUUUAAGUGUUGUUAACUACUUUUGCUUACCAUGGACUUGUUUUUAGUACUGAUUCGAAAUAAUAAAAAGAACUGUUCUAAAAAAUGUUCUAUUGUAGCUUAGGUGAGUGUUGGGUAAGAAUAUAUGUCCAAUAUGAAUAAAUUUGAAGAGUACAUCUCCUUAUCCAUGUUUAAAUAUGUACCCAACAUGGAUACAAAGAGAAGAUUUAAACUGAUAAUAAUUCAUUAAUCAUACGAAGUCCAUAGAUAUGACCAUUCCAUCAUAGUGUACAAUGAGACUCAGACAUAAGACAGACAGGCAUGAAAACGCAUUCAAUGUCUCAAACUACAACAACAAAACACCAAUUUAUUCAACUCAAUUUCAUUAUUUUUAGGUCCUAAUAUUGCUAUGGACUAAAACAUCAUGGUUCUAUGUCUGCUUAAUGAGUGCCACAUGUGCAGUCUGUGCAGCUGCAGCUAUCUCCACACUUGCACUUGCCAUCGUUCUCUGCCACAGCCUCGACCACUACAGUGCUGAUGUAGCUGCAAAGAAAUAUCACAACAGAUUAUAUUUAAGCAUAUGUGUUGGACUGUGCAAAGCAUAGCUCCUUUUUUUGCUUCUCUAGGUAAGAAUAUGAUUACUUAUCCAAAUGGGUUCAAUUUUGGUUAAAUUAUUCAAUAUUGGUCCUAAUAUACCUCUUUUCAGUCUCAAUGACCAAGCUAUUUCCUUUCUUCCUGUAAGCAUAACAAAAAAAAGCCUUCAGUUUCAAUGAUAAUUGAUUGCAAACUCAUGCAUUUAGUCACAACAACCUUAAUAAAUUUAUAUUUUAUCUAUGAAAAAAAUUAUAAUUAAAUUCCGACCGCUAAAAAAUAUUUUUUAUGAAUUUGCCCCUAGUAGUAUGCAGCUAAAAAACAUGCAGAACUAACUUAGGAACAAUAACAAAAUCAAAGAACCACACACAACAGUAGAAACUGGUCGAAAGCUGAUGAUGGAAGGAUGAUUUCUUACACGCACUGGCUCUUGUCAGAGCAGUCGCAGUUGCCGCACUUGUCAGACAUGAUGAAUUUGAAAGAGUUGAGAAGUAAAAGGUUUGUUUGAGUUUCUAAAGUAGUUAAGCUAACUUGCGAUGUAUAUCCAAAGCUAUGCACUUGAUGUAUUUAUAGAAGAGGAAGUACAUGGAAAUGGUGCAAAGGGAAGGCAUCUGUAGGGGCCCAAGCAGGCAUGACCGCAUGAGAGAAGCACACGCCUCUGCUACAAGAGUUCAAAGGAAAGGAAUCUUGAUAAUGGAGGCAAAGGAAAGGUUGGCUUACUGUCCUCCUCUCAUGUCUAUAUCAUUUGGAAUUUUCUUUUAGGUUGUCUUUUAGAAUGUAAUCCCAAAAUCUAUGCAAUAUGGACUCUACCCAAAAAGAAAAAUCAAAUUCAACUUUGAAUUGGUGCUGACUUAUCAUGAUCAUAGUUUUCAAAUUAGAAUUUUGAUCUAAAUAUAAAUUGAGAGUACGAAAAAUAUCCUAUUCCUGUAAAAUAACAAAAAGAAUGGUAUAAGGUAAGUAGGGUUUAGAUAAGUAUUCUUGAACAAAAUAAACCAGUUAUAAUGGAAGAGGACGACUACGACCACCAAUUUCACUUAAAUUUUAGACUUAUGAUUUAGAGAAACUUGAAAGAAAUAAACUUAAUAAAAAUGAAAUUUUAUUGAAUAAAUGAAAGGAACAAAAGUAGAGCUUUUUGGGAGAGGGAGCUUUUACAGAAAAGAUGAGUGAAAUUUGUGUCACUCCAUCCCCUAUUUAUAGUACGCAGAAGACCUAAUUUAUUCCUAUCUAAAUUUUAAAAGAUAAAUAAAGAUAAAAGCUAAAAUUAAAUCUAAAUAAUAAUCUUAACAGUAAUCCUAAUAUAAUUAAAAUUUAAAUAGAGUAGUGUGUUUAUAAAAUCUCUUCUUUGAACUGUUGCCCCCAAGUCUUCCACACUUCGCAUUUUCGGCACCACUUCUUUCCUAUUUUGCAUACUAUCCCAUUUUAUCUUUAAAUUUACGCUUUUUGCCACUAAAUUUUCUUUUGCCUUCAAUUUAGUCCCUACAAGAUAAAAAACCAUAAAUAACUCAAAUUAGUAAGAUCAUACUCAAAAUAAAUAUGUAAUUAAUACAUAAAAAUAUGUCAUUCCAGAGUAUUAUCAAUAAGAGUUAAUUGCACCAAAAAUUUUAAACGUUCUAAUUAUGUCUCCACACUAUCAAUGUUAUACUAAUGAGGUGCUUUCGUCACUAAAAUCAUUAAUUUAAUUGUCAAAUGAGACGUCAGAUCUUCUGUGAUAUAAUCUAAAAUGAAAAAUUUAAAGAAAAAUGAAUAUUGUAAAAAUGGAUGUGGUAAAAAGCUUUUACAGAAACUAUUGUUCACUCUAUCUUUUUUUGGUUUUACUUUAUUUUUAGUUUUUAAUUUUAAAAAUUAUGCGGCAACGUUUUAUUUUUCUUUUAAAUUUUUAUCUUAAAUUAUGUCAUAUAAAAUUUUACGUGUCAUUUAAUUGUUAAAUUAACAGUUUCAAAAUAAGAAGAAUCUGAUUGAUAUAAUAUCAAUAAUUUAAGAAUAUAAUUAAAAUAUUUUAAAGUUAAAAGACUAAUCUAAAAUAAGAAUUAUAGUUUGGGUAUGUAUCAAGCAAUUAACUCAAUAAAUAAAUGUGAGUGGCAGUCAUUUACAUCAAUAUGUUAUAUAAGUGGGUUUGGCAUCAUAUCUUAUAUGUUAUUUUCACAUUUAUUUAUUUAUCUUAUUUAUUUUAUUUUUAAAAUAUGAGAUUCUAGUAGGGUUUGUGAAAAAUUGUCCUUUAGGUAAUUUUUUUUUUAAAUGUUAACUCUCCCUUGAAAAAUAAGAAAAUUUAUUUUUUGGCUCAUUUAAAAGGAAUAUAAAAAUUAGGAGCAUGUGUGAUCAAAUAUGUUUGAUUACAUUUUUAUAUAAUAUUAAGAGUAAGGGAUGAUAAAAGUUAUACAAUAUCUUAAUAAUAACAACAAAAUUGUAACAACAUAAUAAUAAAAUAGUAACAAAGUAGUGAAAAAUAACAAGAAAAUAGUAUAAAAGAAAAAAGAAAACAAUAAAGUUUUGCAUAUUCAGGCUAGGCUAGACAAAAAAGGCUUAUCUAAGACUUGACCCGUUUUCUAAAUGGAUCUUAUUUUUUUAUCUUAAAAUUUAUUAUUCAGAAAAUAAAAUGAAAUUUUCAUCUCUUUUCUUCCUUUGUUGUCCAACUAAAUUGCUAGGUGGGGAUAUUUAAUUUUUGAGGUUUUUGACAUAUUUUGGUGAGGAUUUAGAUGUUUUUAGGUAAGGUUUGGGUUGAAACUUGCUAGGAUUUAUUGAGUUUUAGAGAAGCAAAGAGAGUCUCAUUGUAUUGAAUGCGUCUACAUUAAUUGAUUUAAGAGUUUUGAUGUUUAAUUAUUGUUGUUAAAAGUGGUAGAAGAGUAAUCGAAUUUGUAGUGAAUGUUGGAUACGAAUAUACGUAGAACAUGAAUAAAUUUGAAGAUUAUACCUCUUUGUUCAUGGAACAGAUUUGUGCUAAUAAUCAUUCAUUAAUCAGACAAAGUCCAUAGACAUGGCCAUUCUAUCAUGGUAUACAAUGAGGCGGAGACAAACAUGCAACACGCCACCAAUUAUUCAACUUAAUUUAAUUAUGGACUAAAACAUCGUGCAGUUCUAUAUAUGUCUGCUUAAUGAUUGCCACAUGUGCAGUUUGUGCAGCUGCAGCUAGUUCCACACUUGCACUUGCCAUCGUUCUCUGCCACAGCCUCGACCACUACAGUGCUGAUGUAGCUGCACAAGAAUAACACAACAGAUUAUGUUUAGCAUAUGUAAAAGC